CUUAAUUCACUCAAAAGUCUCAACAUUUCUCACAACAACCUGACAGGUGGCAUUCCAUCGUCGCUAAGAAAUCUGAUAGAGCUUGAAUCUCUAGACCUCUCUUCAAACAAGCUUACUGGACGUAUCCCAACACAACUGGCAAGUCUCAAUUAUCUUUCGGUGUUGAAUUUUUCGAACAACCAGCUCGAGGGACCCAUACCAAGAGGACCCCAGUUUAAUACAUUUGGAAAUGAUUCCUAUUCUGGUAACUCGGGGCUGUGUGGAUUCCCAUUAUCGAAAAGCUGCAGCAUUGAUGAGGCACCAGAGCCAACAACACCAACAGGAUUUAUCGAAGGAGACGAUGCUUCAAGCUGGUUUGAUUGGAAGCUCGCUAAGUUGGGUUAUGCAUCUGGAGUGGUGAUCGGCUUGUCCAUUGGAUACAUGGCAUUUGCGACUGGAAGGCCACAAUGGUUUGUAAGAAUGAUCGAAAGGAAGCAAUCCACGAAGUUGAGAAGGGUGAUCAGACGAGGCGGAGCAGGUAGAAGAAGUUUGUAGGUGCAUCUCUAAAGGCCCAGGUGAGUAAUUAUUAGUUUGUCUUUUGGAAUUAUUAGCUGGUUUCUACUGUUCUUUGAGUAGAUAGCAUGCUGAUAUUAUCGUAAUCUAGCAAUUGACUUACAAAAACCACCAUCCUAAUUAAUUUCAGAUUAUGUUUAUUAUCUUCAACAUCUAUAGUGAGAAAGAAAAUUUUAACUGAAUUAUUGAUGUGGUUGUUUUCUUCAGGAAUUAUAAACUCCUAGAAGCUAUCAGUGGAAGUCAAAUAAUCCUCCAAGUACUCAAAUUGUUUUUACUUUAAUUUCAAUUUCAUGAAAUUGCUUUUACUUUUAUUUCCAUUUCAUUAGAACAUGUAAUCACAGACGUAUGUUUUGAUGGUAAAAUGAUUUGAAGGAAAUUGUGUGGGGGGAACUCUACACUUAUAUCUUCAAAUUUGGGCGUAGAACGUACUAUAUCAAAGUUUGAGAGCGGAAAACAUUCUUAUUAAGUGGGUGCAUUGCCCUCUUUGAGAAAAUGUAUUAAAUGAAAUCCCACACAUCUGCUAAUGGGAUUGUACAACGUUGACGGCACUCACAUCUGAGGGUUUAAAGUAAUUUUCGUAGAUCUUUUAUUGUAAUAUAUGUAUCUAUAUUUCAAAAGGAAGAAACCACCGUCAUCCAAAUUUAAUUAAGAAAAAUCUUCACUUUUUCAUAUAUCAACUUUUUUUCGUUUUGUAGAAACAAAAAUAAUUAUGCGUAAAAUGAAACCAAACUGCCAUUAAAUUUAGAGGGGUUUUCAUAGCGAUGCCAUACCUUAACAGCAGUCCCCACGUACGGCGCGGCCAAUGAUUCCACUUAUAACAUGUUCUUAAGAUAAUUUGAUUGGGUGUAAAAAGAAAAUGGUUUGAAUAAUUGAAAAAACAUUGGUCCAAAAUCUCUAACCUUUUAUGAUCCUUGUUCAAAUGGCCCAGUACGUGCCACGUCAACAUGUGCAAACUCAUCCACGUCACCAGCCUCAGCGCUCUCGCCACGUCAUCACUCGAUGAUCAUUGGAUUAAGAAAAACAGUUGAAUUGGGUCUCGUCAGUCGUCACAGAGGCCGAGCACAAAAGACAAAGAGAAACCGAAAUGGCGCGAGCUUUGCUUCAUUUGAAUCGCACAGCCACGGCCAUAAUAAUUAUGUUGAUUGAUGUGGUUGGACUUUCGUAUGUUAUUAUUUAAAUCCCCUAAUAUGUUAAAAUUUAAAAAACUGUAAAACUUGUUUAAAGUAACAUAAAUAUAAAAAUUACUCUACUCAAAAUCUCAACCAUAAAUUAUAUAAAUAACUAAAUAUAAAUACAAAGUUAAAAACCAUGUCUCAUUCCUUUAAAAAACACACAUUGUGGAAUUGGGCUGCUCAAGUUGUUAUUCCUGAAAUUAAUAAACAUUAAACCGAUACAAUUAACUAAAUAUGGUGACAAUGGUCCUUCUAGGCGAUUGUCAUUCAGCGUAAGCAUACAAAUUGCAACCUUUUUGCAUAUGAUUGUGGGAUUCUACCACGAAGAUUGUUCAUUCUAACAUCUAAGCACCCCACUGUAAAGUUUCCAAGGCACGGCUGAAGCUAUUAUUGGACAUAGAGAUGGCCACUCGCCAAUGCGAGUAUGUUUUAGAAGGGCACGUAGCAUGGUAUGCACACAAAUUAACAAACUAGAUAGGGCUGAGAAUUUUAAGUAUGUGGUCCUUAAAAUCAUGUCCUUCUCUAAAUGCAACAAUGGAAAAUAUCAAAUAAUCGUGACUCAAUUAAUUGUAGCAAUAAUCAUGUAGGAGAUGAUAUGAGCUUAAUUUGGGUGUACAUCUUUGGUUUUAUAAGUUGAAUUUGAAUGUGUAAUAUUAUUGUUCUGAAACUCAAUAAGAUAAUUGAUUGGGUGUAAAAAGAAAAUGGAUUGAAUAAUUGAAAUAACUUAAGUCCAAAAUCUCUGACCUUACAUGAUCCUUGUUCAAAUGACCCAGUACGUGCCACGUCUACAUGUGAAAACUCAUCCACGUCACCAGCCUCAAUAUUAUCGCCACGUCAUCACUCAACAGGUUACCAGUGACGAUAAUUUGGAUAAGAAAAAUUGUUGAAUUGAGAGCCUUCACUCUUCACAGAGAAACCAAAAAAGCGCGAGCUUUGCUUCACUUGAAUAGCACAGCCAUGGCCUUAGUGGCCAGGGCUAAAGCCUACAAGUGCUACUACAGAGACAGUUCUUGAUGGAGCUCAGUUUCAAAUGAAGAACCAAAACACCCGCGUUUUGGUACUUGGAGUUACGGGUCGGGUCGUUGGAUCCACUGCUGUUUCUCUCUACAAAUUCUGCACCAACCUUCAUAUUGUAGUUGGCUCUCGAAACAGGUCAAAUCAUCAAUGUCCUUUUCUUUCUUCUGUUUGGUUUCCGAAAAAAUGCAAGAAAUAAAGGAGGGAAAUUUUUAAAGCUUUGUUAUUUUCUGUUAUUUUUAUGUUUACUAUGUUUCUUUGGUUCUUUUAAAAUUUAAAUUCAAGGUGAUGGCUAAGGGUAAACUGCAAUGCUUUUACAUGAUUCCGAAAGCACAUUUCUAAACAGCCACUCAACUACAAGCGAUUGUCAUGUCCUGCAAUUGUAGAUUAAGGCUACAUUAGGUAGUGGUAUUGUGCGGUCGAGGCUUUUUAAGGCACAUCUACUUUUAAAUGAGAGCUACUGUGAAAUCAAAGUUUUAGUUAUAAAAUAAAAGUUUAUAGUGUUUGGUAAUUUUUUUAAAUAAUAAUUUUGAUAAAAAUAGUAAACCUAACAUAGGUUAGGCAUUUGUGGAUAAAUUUGCUUUAAUUGUCAAACUGUGGCUAUACUAUUUACUAAAUAUUUUAGAGUGCCUAAACAAGCCAUUAUAAAAUUACCAAUUAUACAAAAAAUUGUAAUUCUCUCACUUUUUGGUUUUCAUAAGCAUUCGAAAGGCAAUCAUAUCUUUUUCUUUUUUUUUAUUGAUAUGCUUUGACCACGGUAUGUUAUUAUUUUAGAAUGUUGUCAAACAUGUUAGUUCUUGGAUGGAACUAUAGAGUUGUGAAUUCAAAUAGUUAUGGCUGGAAUGUUUCCUAAUUUAGAGUGUUGCUGAGAAAAUUCUGCAUACUGGCAGGGAAAAAAGUGCCACAAUGGUCUCUACACUGAGGAAGAAUUCUGCAUUUGCUGAAGUUAACGUUGACAAUGAAGGCUCAUUAUUAAUGGCUUUAAUGUUGUGUUUACUUUCUGAAGUGGGAGUAAGGAGUGUGGAUUCCUCCCACUCUAAUGUUCACUUCAACAUUUUAAGGUAGGAUGGGGAGUGGGAGUGGGACUCCAAUGUUCCGCUCCCACCUCUUCCUUUUCUACCCUCUUUUUAUUAAAUUUAAUAUAAUUAUAUUUAAUAAAUUAAUUCCACUCCCACCUCUUCCUUUUCUACCCUCUUUUUAUUAUAUUUAAUAUAAUUAUAUUUAAUAAAUUAAAAUAAAUAAUAUUAUAUUUAUUUAAAUAAUAUUAUUAUAUUUAACUAAAUAAUAAUUUGUAUUGAUUCUAAGUUAAAAUUACUUAAAAAUAAUAUUAUUAUAUUAAUAGAGAAUUAAUAAUAUUACUAUAAACUAUCUUUAUCUGAAAAUAUAAUACUAUUAUAUUUAUUUAAAAAUAAUAGUAUUAUAUUUAUUUAAUAUUAAUAAUUAAUAGUAAUAAAUAGUUUAUUCUAAGAAAAUAUUAAUUUCGUACUAUCUUAAUAGUAAAAAUGUUUUAUUUAUAUUGCCCUUAUCAAUAAUUUUUAAUUUACAUACUUAAAAUUAAAAUUAAUAAAACAAUGUGAUGUACAGAAUUAAGAAUAUUAAGAAUUAUUAUAAUUUUACAAAUAUAAUAAAAUAAAUAUUUACUCAUCAAAUAUAUAUUGUUAAUAACUUUGUAAUUAAAAACUAUAAUUCUUUAAAUAAAGGUAAAAUUAUAAUUUGAAACUAUUUACUCCCAAUUCAAGAUAAAGUAAACACAUAAAUUAGAUUCUUAUUUCCAUUUCAUACUUCCAUUCUGAUGUAAGUAAACAACAUGCUCUCACUCCUACUUUACACUCUCAAUCCUAAAAUUUCCACUUUUCAGAAUUCUUACUUCAAUCUAAAAUGUAAACACUACCUAAGAAGUGUGAUCAUUCCUCUCGUACUAGAUGUAUCUUCUGUUACUCCGCAUCAAUAAUUAUUUUUCUUCUAGGGUCGUGGUAAAGGAAUUUUUUCAGGACAGAUAUUUCGUUAUUGACAAUAUUUUAAUGAUGUUUUAGUCUAUAGUUGAAAUGCUGCAACUUUGCUUCUGCAGAUGUGGAUCUUGUGGUUCAUGCAGCAGAGCCUUUUCAAGAGGCACCGAAAUGCACUGUAUUGGAAUUUGCCAUGGAAACCAAGGUGAGGAAAGGUAAAUGUUGUGUUUGAUUCUCUCUUUUCCAAGUCCAGUUUUCUACGUUUUAUAUAUGUGAUGAUUGAAGUAUGUAUACAACUUUACUAUGUAACCGAGAUGUCAUCUUAUGUGUUCUUUUUGUGUCUCCUAACAGACAGCAUACAUUGAUGUUUGUGACGAUACCAGCAACUCUCAGCCCGCAAAGUCCUUCGAGGUUAAAGCAAUAACUGCAAACAUUCCAGCCGUAACUUCUGAAGGAAUCUAUCCAGGAGUAAGCAAUGGUGAUUUUAUGAACAUUCUUGUCCUGCAAUCUGCACUUCUACUGCAGAAAAUUAAAUAUAUGAUGUGAAGUGAAGAGUAUGGAUGGAUAGAGCACAAAUUCUGCAAUUGAAACAUGUAAAGCCUACAAAUUCUUGCUUUAGAGCUAAAACAUCAUUGUUGGUGAACCCAUAGGCCUGGCUCCAAAGCUCUUAUAUAUUAUGGACAGGAUCCAGCGUGCUUGUGUUCAUAUACAUGAUUUUUGCCACCGGAAGACCUCAGUGUUUUGUAAAGAUGAUUGAACGGAAGCAAUCUAAGAAGGUCACGAGGAGGGUGCAUCCACUGCUCCAAGCUAUUUGUAGGUUGCACGCUGAUUUUGAUAUAUUCUGAACUACUAUUUGAACUGCAUAAUAAUGUGACGUGUUUUUUGUACAGGAAUUUUAGACUCAUGGAAGGUAGCAUUGGAAGUGAAUCAAUCCUCCUGGUGCCAAAUUUGCCUUGCUUUAUUUCCAUAUCUUUAUUGGUAAUUAAAUUUAUAAAAUAUUUGAGGGAAAAAAUGAUUCGAAAAAUUAUUGAUGUGGGAAAUGGCGUGGGCUGACUUUGAUUUAGUGCAUCUCUGGGCUAUGAAAUGUUGAAUUUGGGCGUACUUGGAAGCCUGCAACAAGAUGAACAACAUUCACUGUCAUUUAGGAAAUUACCCAUGAGACUAUUGACAAAUUUCAAUGUUUCUGGACUAAAUAUCGCAUUUCAAGUUACUUAAUUUCGAGCACUUUAGGAAUCUUCUAUGAUUUUAUUUUUAUUUUUAUUUUAUAAGAAGUUCAUUUGUUACUUCAGUGUUAUAUCUUUUUCUUACUCUAAUUUCCAGUAUUUUUCUAAUAAUGGUUGGAAUCUGCUGUGUUCAUAGAUUAGGCAUUAACAGGCUAUAAAACCUCAAGGCUAAACAAUUUUUAUCAAUUAAACAUAUUAUUCGGAAACUUUAUUUCUUCUUUUCGUCUCACUUUAGAAAUAUUUAUAAGCCCAACGAAUUUGCCCGUUUAACAAAUUGUUCUUUGUAUGCGCCAUGGGGAAAAUCAAAUAAUAUUUAUAGGCUAACUUCAAUGCCUUCUUGCAUAUAAUUGUAAGAUUUGGGCAUUUAAUAUGUCAUUUGAAGUACGCAAUGAGAUGGAUAAAAAUCUUUUCCUUCUCGUGAUGUAUGCGAGACUUUUUGCCAAAUUCCAAUGCCUUCUUGCAUUAAAAGUGGGACACAUUAUUUUGUAUUAAAACGAAUUUGCCAGUUUAACACAUUGUACUAAUCAAAUAACUUUAUUUGAUUCGCUAUUCGAUCAUAAGGGAUGUAGGUGUUAUAACAUAUAUAUGGAUACAGUCUAUUCCUCUACCUUAUAUAAAACAAUAAUAACACCAACUGGAGUCUAGGCGGCUGCCACAUCACCAUGUACGACAGACAACUAACAUUUUUCUUAUCUAUAUAUCGUUUGAGCUUUAAUUUGGACUGGUUCAUGGAAAUUGAAUAAUCAAAGUCUACUAAAGACGUCAAGAAAGGAAACGAGUAAAAUACAAACAUAGUCUAUCAAUGUUUAAUGCUUAAUGUAACGUUACGUGUUGGCUGUAUUAAUAGAAAUUCUCCGCAUCUGCCAAUAGGCUCGUAGCCCCUUGACAACACUCAUGCUCUCAAAUCUUGAGAGCAAUUAAUUCGUGGGACUCACUUUUUUCUGUCAGUAUAAUUAGAUAUGGGUAGAUUUUUUCCACUAAUAUAAAUAGAGCAUAUAUCCCUAACAAAUUUACGAAAUUAUCCAUCUGACUUUUAGGAAAUUAUACCAUUUCAGGACCCAAAAUUGCAUUUGAAUUUAUUUUAAAUUACAGCGCUGAGGACCAACAAAGUGUUGGCUCCACUGGCAAUGGAGUCCCCUUAAGUGGCUUGACUGGGUUUGCUCCCCAGUUCGAGUCGCAGGGAAGUCGCCUUUGUUGGGAGAACAUGUGCCUCCCGGUUCGAGCGGGGACUUCUAGUCUGGGUUGUGGUACGGGCUUAAAGGUGUCUCCCAUAGUUGGGGCCCUCCCCAGGAUACCUCGUGAUUAUAUCAAAAAAAAAAUUACAGCGCUGAGGAAACUUCUAAGAUUUGUACUUUUAUUUUCAUAACAAAUUGUUAAGCAACUUCCGUUUGUUGCGUUUUUAAUUAAUUUCAAUUUAAUCCUUAAUCUUCUCUGAAUUUCUUUUCUUUUUUUUCAGCUUAGGAGAGCAUAUUAACGCCUACAUAAAAGAAGCUAUAUACCACUGUAAAUAGAGUACUAUUAGUACAAAAUUAAUUCAAACUAGUGAAAAAGAUCACAAAUUUAUAAAGCCUUACUGUGGAAUGCUCAAUGUUGACUUAGGAAAAGGGUUUAAGAUCUAUAUUGAGAAUUGAUCAAGCAAUUUCAGCAUAGAGAUUACACACAUAUAUAGUAAACAAUUAAGAGUAAAUGGAAGGUUGAAUUUUACAAAACUAGCGACAAAUGCACCAAUAAACUAGACUUGGUGCUCUGACUCUAAAGGUGUUCUAUUUAAUUAGAUUCCCCUGUAGUGGUGUGAUUAAAAGAGAUGGAUAGAAAAGGUUAUUUUAACUUAAGAGGUGGACUUGACUAAAGUGUUCAUUAAUGACAUGACGUUGAGAAAGAAAGACUUAUUCUCUACAUACCUCUUAAUUUGGGCAAUCCUACAUCAGUAACUUUCAACUUUUUUUUAUUCUUCCCAUGGGUUUCAUUAUCAUAAUUGUGGAAAAAAAGUUGUUGUUUGGAGUUUUGCAAAAUUAGCCAUAAGUUCAUGCAUCAACUAGAUUCCAAAACAAUAUCAUCAGGCUCAGUAUAACAAAGGACUUGGUGCAUACUCUAAGUCCAAAUGAAUUAUAAUUAAUUAGAUUAUUUCAUCCUCAAUUUUAAACGUUAGUAUUGAUCAAUCUUAAAAGUAGAUUACCCAUAUUAACUUGCAGUAAACUAAUUAAGAAGUAAAUGGAUGGUCGAACAACCUGCUUAACAAAUCGAAACAGAGGAGGGAAAAAUAUGAGUCUAGCUGGCUGUUACAUCUCUUUUUACAUACAUAAAUAAAUAUCAAAAUUAUUAUUAAUUGGAUGCAGCUUCAGCUUUGGUGCUGGUUUGUGAAAAUUGGAAAAACUGGAAAAUUGAUAGCUCUUUCUCCUUUUGAAGAAUCAAAGUCUACUUUAAAUAAUAAUCCCCAUCAAUAUUUAAUGCUUGUUAUUGACUUUAAACCAGCGGCCGCUUUCAGAAAGAAAGACUUCAAUCGAAAAGUAAAUAGAUUCCCUCCUUUACUUCCACUUCAUGAGUUACAACUAACCAUUUCACUUCUAUAUAUGGUAAUUUCUCUUCUUGGGAUUUCAUCAGGAGAAAAAAAGGAAAAAAAGAAAAGAAAAGAAAAGAAAAUGGGAUAAUAUCACUCAGCCUUAUCAACUUUUGAUUUGCCUGCAGUUAUUGUUCUUGUAUUAACGAGGCUAUGUAUCAUUCAAUUAACUAAACACAUUUUGGUGAACAUACAACUGAAAUCAUUUUCACACAAUAACGUAGCAAAAAGCUACUACAUAUCACAAUGUUGACCACUGGGCUAAUCAAGCAUUUACCUUUCCUAAUACAAUUUAUCACAAAACGAUUAUCCCUUUUCAUAUUUUAAGUUCAGUAGUAAGAAAACAGUGUCCGUUUCAUAUUUUCAGUUAUUGCUCAAUCCCUUUACAAAAAAGUAUGUACAUUUACAAGGGAUAGAAGAUUUUGGUUUGACUUUGAUAUGACCAUAAAUACUAUUGAAAUUACAAGCUUUAGAAGUUCACAAAAUAAAUAUUGUAAAUUUAAGGGGGCUAAAUCAUAAGCUUUACAAAUAAGUGGAUUCAAUUUUAGUUUGUACCUUUAUCAGUUAAUCUAAUUUUCCAAUUUUCAAACCAAAAUUUAGUUUUUAAUUUUUUGAUUAAAUUUCUUUAGAAAAUACUCAACUAAAUACUAUUUAUAGUUAAAUAUUAGUUUGAAUGAACACAUUCAUAGAUAAUUGUGUAAGCAAUUUAUUUGGUUAAUUAAUGGUUGUAAUCUUUAAAAAUGAGAAUUACUAAUUUUAAAAAAUUCCAAUGGUUACUGUAUUAAAAGUAUGUUUGGAACAUAGCAUUGCAUAGUAUUAUAAUACUAUUCAUAUUAAUUUAUCGCUAACCUAUGUUUGGUAAUUUUAGAAGCCACAUUGUGGUGCAUGUGCACCAGAAUGUGCCAACUGUUGCCUCAAUUGAGAUGUUGAACAUAUUCUAAUUAUCAUUUAAUAAUAAAUAAAAUAAAAUAGAAGUUAAAUUAUAAUGUUUUUAUUUAAUAACACAAUAUUACAUUAUAUUUAUACAUUAGUAAUUAAUAUAAAAUAAUAAUUUAAUAACUAUUUUAAUAUAAUUAUUGGUAAAGUAAUAAUAAAUCUAAAUAAUACUAAUUUAAUAUUAGUACAAAAUUAACAAAGUACAAUUUAACGCUAAAUAUUAUACAAUAUUAUUAUAAUACAAUUCUAAUUCAAUAUCUCAUAAAGUGCAUUAAAAGACAUGAUACGGUAUAAGUGAAGAGUAAUGGAUUUUAGUUUGCAUUAACGUAUGCCCAUUACUAUAAACCAAUGGCCCAACACUUGGCAUGUCAAAGACAAAAACUAUCCAUACUGGCGCCACAUCAUCACUCAUUGUAAACUGAAAAGAAAAUUUUUGAUAAGAAAACAGUUGAAUAAUUGAAUUUCGAGUCUUUGGUGGACAUUAUCCUUUUUAUAGUAAAUAUAUCUUUGAGUUAAACAGUUACUAAAACAUUGGGGCUAAUUUUUCAUUUAACUACAAAAUUACUUUUAUUGGAACCCAUAAAACAAUUUUUAAGAGGUUAAUUAGUUAUGUCACAUCUUCAACUAUUGUCAAAUUAUUAUUCGAGUUCAUCAUUUAAGUGGUAAAUGCGUUACUUAAAACAUUUCAAAUGAUAUAUUAAACAAAUAUUUUGAGGAACAAGGCUCAUUAUGUCUCCUCUCAUUAGUUGUAUUUUUAAUUUCUUUUUAAAAAAUUCUCUCAUAUUCAAUUAAAAAAAAUCAGCCACUCAAAAAAAAAAAAAAAUACUUAGCUUCGCGGCUGAAUGGGGCUAAAUUAUGUAUUGUUUGACUAGCAAAACUCUUACCACAUCGGCUGCCCACGUCAUAUGUGCCCACUAAGUUUAUUAUGGUGAAGUCCAUGUCAACAUGUCAAAACUCGGCCACGUCAUCAACUACGUCAUCUCUCAACUAGUUAUAACGGAUGAUAACUUGGAUGAGCAAAACAAUUGAAUUGAGUCUCUUCACAAAAGUAGGACCAUAAUUAUAACUAAUUUAUAAAAUUUAUAUUACUUUAUUUGCAAUAUCGUUUUUAAUUAUGUCUAUAUUAGUAUGAAUCUUAAACUCAAGUUUUGGAUUAAUAGAAUCUAGUAUUAUUAAAGUCCUUUGGGAUAGACUAAUAAUAACUUAAUAUUAAAAAUAAUUUUCAUUAUUUAUGUUACCUUAUUAAUUAUACUUCUUGUUUUAUUUUAUUCCUAUCAGAAGCUAUUUAUUUAUUAUUUUUAUUUUAUUACUAUAUUUAUAUUUAUUUAGGUUAUUAUAAUCAAAGGUUAUAAUAGUUAUUUAUAAGGAGGGUCUAUGUGACCACCUAAGCAAACCUUAGGGCCGUGGUUACGGGGGUGGUCCUUUUUCCCUAAGCAAUAAUGUAUGAAAUGACCUUGAAUGUACUUAAAUCAUAUGCAACCUAUUUACUAUCUCUCUUUGAGAGUUUUUUUUUUUAUUGAAUAUUAGAUAUUGAGAGACUUAAUCAGAUGCGAUGAGCAACAUGUCACCUAAUUAUAGACUGGUGUGUUAAAAGCUUGGUCAAUUAUCAAGUAACACGUGGUAUCACGCACAAUAACAUACACGAUGAUGCACAUCUGAUCAUUCUUUUUGGAUAUCAAUUGAUCUAAGCCUACAAGUUCAACGUAUAGAGUACACGUAUUUACAGUAGAAUACAAAGUGUGUCAACUUGCUUAAUAAACUAAAACAUAAUCAAAAUAGAGGAGGGAAAAUGAACAGUGUGUCUAUGUAUGUGUAAUUGGAGUUUGGAUCUUACGGACUUAGUCGACUAACUUUCAAAUAACUUCAUUUGAUUCGCCAUUGGAUGAUAAAGGAGGUAUGUGUUAUAACAUGUAUAACUUCAGAUUUCGAAUUUCAACCCCAUUCCUAUGGAUGUGGAGAAAUUUGAAUAGUCAUAAAAUUAUAAAUGGAUGUGGAGAAAAUUGUAGUGAAGUAAUUAAGAAGUAAAUGGAAGGUCUAACAGCUUGCUAAGAAGCUGAAAUAGAAUCAAAACAGAGAAGGGAAAAUGAAUUUUGUCUGUGUAAAGUGUCCGUUUAAUGUCAGUUUGAACCAUGAGUUUCAUAGCCGUGGAAAAGAAAUUGAAGUAGUUUGGAAUUUUACUAAAUUGACCACAAAUUCAUGCACCUACUAGAUUCCAAAACCAUAUCGUGAGGCUCCCAGUAUAACAAGACUUGGUGCAUGCUCUAAGCCUAAAUGAAUUACAAUUAAUUAAGAUACUCCUCCUCAAAAGAUAGUAUUGAUGAAGCUUACAGUUAGAUUACACAUAUUAAUUUGUAGUCCACUAAUGGAAGGUCUAACAACUUAGCUUAACAAACUGUAACAGAGUCAAAACAGGGGAGGGAAGAUGAAUUGUGUUUGUGUAAAUGACUGUUAGUCUAGCUAGCUGUUACACCGGCAAAUAUGACAGAUAACGAACAUCUCGCCGAACUUAAGUAAAUAUCUAAAUGGUUAUUAAUUGGAUACAGCUUCAGCUUUUGGACUGGUUUGUGGAAAUUGAAAAAAUUUGAAAAGUGUUCCUCUUGAAGAAUCAAAGUCUACUUUAUACGUAAAGAAAGGGGAUCCCAGUAAAGAUAAUCCAUCAAUGUUCAGUGGAAUAAUUAAAAGUGAUUUUUUAAUUAUUCCACUGCCCAACAUGAGAUUCCAAAGCAAGACUUGGUUCCCUAAGUCAAUAAGUAUCGAGGGGUCCACACGCAUUUCCGCGAGGCAUUAAAUAUAUUUUAAUUAUAAUUAUAAUAAAUAAAAUAUAAAAUAAGUUAUAUUAUAAUAUUACACAAAUAGAUUACACAUAUUAUUCCUCCUCAUCUUUCUUAACAAGUAGAUUACACAUAUAUAUUAUCAAGAAGUAAAUGGAAGGCCGAACAACUUUUUUAACAAACUGAAACAGAAUUAAUGCAGAGGAGGGAAAAUCAAUUGUGCUUUGUGCAUAAUGUAUAUGACUGACUAACUAACUAAAUUAAUGGUGUUGGAUUAAUAGAUGGGAAGACGUUCAAGAAGCCACGUUGUCCGUACGAGAAGGAGCGUUUAGAUGCCGAGUUGAGGCUGGUGGGAAGUUUCGGGCUGCGGUGCAAGAGGGAGCUGUGGAGGGUUCAGUAUGCAUUGAGUCGGAUUCGCAACGCGGCGAGGGAUCUUCUCACUCUGGACGAGAAGGACCCUCGCCGCAUCUUCGAAGGCCAGGCCCUCCUUCGCAGGAUGUUUAGGUACGGCCUUUUGGAGGCGACUCAGCAUAAAUAACACAUAACUAAUAUCAUUCCGCGUCGAGCACGUCGUCAAGAUCUCCCUCUUGAAAGGAUUCCACUUACCACCUAAAUUCCAAAGCAAGAAGACUUGGUGCUGUAAGCCAAUAAAUAUUAUAUUAUUAAUUAAUUACACACCAUAUUCAACUUCUAUAAAUAGUCAUUAUAUCUCUCUCUCUUCUUGUGAUUUCAUCAUCCAGAAAAGAAAAAGAAAAAGAAAAUGGGUUAUAUCACUCAGCCUUAUCAACUUUUUAUUUGCCUCCAGUUAUUCCUCUUCUAUUCUCAGUGUUCAGCAAUACUUUGCUCUCACCACCAAAGUUCUGCUUUACUCCAAUUUAAGCAGCUCUUUUCCUUUGAAAAAGAUUGUUCAUCCGGUUGUGAUAUAUUUCAACAAAUAUCUCGUCCAAAGAUGAUGUCUUGGAAAGAGGACGCUGAUUGCUGCUCCUGGGAUGGAGUAACAUGUGAUUCGGUGACGGGUCACGUGAUUGGCCUCGACCUCAGUUGCAGUUGGCUUCACGGCAACAUCCCUUCCAACAGUAGCCUUUCCUUGCUUCCUCGCCUGCGAAAGCUCAACCUAGCCUUCAAUGAUUUCAAUUUCUCUAAAAUUUCUUCUGGUUUUACUAUUCAAUUUCCAAGUUUGACACUCCUUAACCUCUCUUUCAGCAAUUUCACGGGGCCAAUUCCUGCAUCACUAAGUAACAAUAUUACACAGCUUGCUUAUUUGGAUCUCUCAUCUAACAGUUUUAGUGGUCACAUUCCAUCAUCUUUUUCAAAUCUGCAGCAGCUUCGUCAUUUAGAUCUUCGGGGCAAUAACUUUGUUGGUGAAAUUCCUGCGUCAUUAGGUAACAAUAUCACACAGCUUGCUUAUUUGGAUCUAUCAUUUAACAGUUUUAGCGGUCAGCUUCCAUCGUCUUUUUCAAAUCUUCAGCAGCUUCGUCAUUUAGAUCUUCAGGACAAUAACUUUGUUGGUGAAAUUCUUGUGUCAUUAGGUAACAAUAUUACACAGCUUGCUUAUUUGGAUCUAUCAUUUAACAGUUUUAGUGGUCACAUUCCAUCAUCUUUUUCAAAUCUUCAGCAGCUUCGUGAUUUAGGUCUUGGGGGCAAUAAAUUUGUUGGUCAAAUUCCGGAUAUGUUUACCAACCUAACCCAACUUUCUUCUUUAAACUUGGCAGAUAAUCAACUGAUUGGCUCGAUUCCAAGUUCAAUCUUUGAACUUGUUAAUUUGACUGAGAUCUAUCUUUCUUUUAACAAUUUCAGUGGCAGCGUUGAGCUUUACGAUUUUGCAAAGUUCAAAAAUCUUAAAUAUCUUAUUCUUUCUAAUAUUAGUUUAUCAGUUAGCACCAAAUUAACAGUCAACUCGUCUUUCCCUAAUCUUUGGGUGUUGGGUUUAUCGGCUUGCAAUAUAAGUGAGUUUCCAGACAUCCUGAAAACUCAACAUCAGUUAGACUGGUUGGACCUUUCUGAAAACCAAAUCCGUGGUAGGAUUCCCAGUUGGAUGUGGGAUAUAGGAGUACAUACUUUGUUUCGCCUAGAUCUUUCACGAAACUUCCUGACAAGCAUAGACCAUCUUCCGUGGAAAAAUCUCGAAUUUCUUACCCUUGAUUCGAACCUACUUCAAGGAUCACUUCCAGAUCUACCACCUCACAUGGUACAGCUUUCAAUUUCCAACAAUAGUUUGACCGGAGAGAUUCCUUCAUCAUUUUGUAAUUUGAGUUCCAUUCAAUAUCUUUACUUAUUCAACAAUAGCUUGAGUGGACAAAUUCCACAGUGUCUUGGAAACUCUACACUUGAAACUUUAGAUCUCGGAAUGAACAACUUCCAAGGUAGCAUCCCACAGACAUAUGCAAAGGGCUGCAACUUGACUUAUCUUCGGCUGAGUGGCAAUCACUUGGAGGGACCAUUACCGCCAUCUUUGAUUAACUGUGUCAAUUUGCAAGUUCUUGAUGUUGGGAAUAACAACUUGAGCGGCCCAAUUCCAGAAUGUCUUGGAAACUCAACACGUUUGUCAUUUCUUGAUGUUGGGAAUAACAACUUGAGCGGCCCAAUUCCAGAAUGUCUUGGAAACUCAACAAGUUUGUCUUUUCUUGAUGUUGGGAAUAACAGCUUGAGCGGCCCAAUUCCGGAAUAUCUUGGAAACUCAACACUUGAAGUCUUGGAUAUGAGAAUGAACAAGUUCAGCGGCAGCCUCCCUCAAACAUUUGGAAAAAGUUGUGUUUUGGUAAGUCUUAAACUUAAUGGAAAUCGGUUGGAAGGACCAUUGCCUCCAUCUUUGGUUAAUUGUCGACAUUUAGAAGUUAUAGAUGUUGGGAACAAUCAGAUUAAUGAGACCUUUCCCCACUGGUUAGACGUUCUUCCCGAAUUGCAUGUACUUACAUUGCGUUCUAAUAGAUUUCGCGGUCCCAUUGGUGAUACCGAAACAAGAGUUCCUUUCCCCAAGUUGCGAAUAAUUGAUCUCUCUUACAAUCGAUUCACCGGUAUUUUGCCAAUAUGGUAUCUGAAUGGUUUUAAAGCCAUGAUGCACGGGGAUGUCAAUAGUAUUGAAGUCAAUUAUAUGAGGUCGUUGAAUUAUUCUUACUAUGAAUCAAUAUCUCUGACUAUGAAAGGCAAUGACAUACAAAUGGAGAGGAUUUUAACCACUUUUGCAACUAUUGAUUUGUCGAGCAACAGAUUUCAAGGGGAAAUAUCAGAAGUGUUGGGAAAGCUUAAUUCACUCAAAAGUCUUAACAUUUCUCACAACAACCUGACAGGUGGUAUUCCAUCGUCGCUAAGAAAUCUAACAGAGCUUGAAUCUCUAGACCUCUCUUCAAACAAGCUUGCUGGACGUAUCCCAACACAACUGGCGAGUCUCAAUUAUCUUUCGGUGUUGAAUCUUUCGAACAACCAGCUCGAGGGACCCAUACCAGGAGGACCCCAAUUUAAUACAUUUGGAAUUGAUUCCUAUUCUGGUAACUUGGGGCUGUGUGGAUUCCCAUUAUCAAAAAGCUGCAGGAUUGAUGAGGCACCAGAACCAACAACACCAACAGGAUUUAUCGAAGGAGACGACGCUUCAAGCUGGUUUGAUUGGAAGCUCGCUAUGUUGGGUUACGCAUCUGGAGUGGUGAUCGGCUUGUCCAUCGGAUACAUGGCAUUUGUGACUGGAAGGCCACAAUGGUUUGUAAGAAUGAUCGAAAGGAAGCAAUCCAGGAAGCUGAGAAGGGUGAUCAGUCGAGGCAGAGCUGGUAGAAGAAGUUUGUUGGUGCAUCUCUAAAGGCCCAGGUGAGUAAUUAUUAGUUUGUCUUUUGGAAUUAUAAGCUGGUUUCUACUGUUCUUUAAGUAGAUAGCAUGCUGAUAUUAUCGUAAUCUAACAGUUGACUUGCAAAAAUCACAAUCCUAAUUAAUUUCAAGUUAUGCUUAUUAUCAACAUCUAUAGUGAGAAACAAAAUGAGGAUAAUGUAUAAGAAAGAAAAUUUUAACUGAAUUAUUGAUGCGAUUGUUUUUACUUUUAUUGCCAUUUCAUUAGAACAUGUAAUCACGGACGUAUGUUUUGAUGGUAAAAUGAUUUGAAGUAAUAUUGUUGCAGGAAAUUGUGCGGGGGUAACUUUGGUUUGUAAUCAUGUACUUCAAAUUUGGGCGUAGAACAUGUUAUUUCAAAGUUUGUGAGCAGACAACGUUGUUUGCCUUUGGCUCAGUGAUAUCAAUUUAAAAACUCAGAGCUUAAUUAAUAACUCUAUUAAGUGUGUGCAUUGCCCUUCUUGGAUUGACAGCACUCAUCCCACACAUCUUCCCAUGCAAGGAUUUCCACUCAUCAAUUAGCAAAAAUUGAAAAACAUUAUAAUUAAAUGUGUGUGUGUACGUAUAUGAUUCAGCAGAGUACUCCUAGUCUUAAGUUGAACAUCAAUAAUUAAUUGAAAAACAUUAUAAGUAGAUGAGAUUACAAAUAUGAUCAAUGUUUAAUAAAAUCCACCAUCAAAAAAUGAAAAAGUCCUAAUUAAUGACUUUCAUUUUUUGAUCCUUCCAAUGAGUGCACAUAUAGCCGUGGAAAAGAAGCUAAAGUAUAUAGUCUGCAAUUUUACAAAACUGGCGACAAAUCAAUGCACCAACUAGACUCCAAAACAAGAUGACGAGUUACAUUUAGUAACAAGACUUGGUGCUGUAAGUCUAAAAGUAUUAUAUUUAUUAUUACUAUUUUUUUUAAAAGUGUUGUAUUUAAUUAGAUUCCCCUGUUUUGGUGUGAGUUAAGGAGAUGGCUACGAUAAGUUUUUUAUUCUCGUAAGGGGGACUUGAAUAAAGUGCUCAUUAUUAAUGGCUUUGAGAAAGAAAGACUUGUUCUAUAUAUCCCUCUUAAUUUGAACAAUCUUUCUUCAGCAACUUCCAACCUUUUUUUAUGCUUGCCAUGGGUUUCGUAGCUGUGGAAAAGAAGUUAAAGUAGUUUGGAAUUUUAUUAAAUUGGCCACAAAUUCAUGCAACUUUCAACCUUUUUUAUGGAUUCCAUUGGUUUCAUAGCAUGGAAAAGACGACAGACAACUAACAUUUCUCUUAUCUAUAUAUCGUAAGUGUUAUAACAUAUAUAUGGAUACCGUUUAUUCCUGUAACUUGUAUAAAACAAUAAUAACAACAACUGGAAUCUAGGCGGCUGCCACAUCACCAUGUAUGACAGACAGCCACAUCACCAUAUAUCAUUUGACCUUUAAUUUGGACUGGUUAGUGGAAAUUAGAAAAACUCGAAUAAUCAAAGUCUACUAAAGACGACAAGAAAGGAAACGAGUAAAAUACAAACAUAGUCUAUCAAUGCUUAUGCUUAAUGUGACGUUGCGUCUUGGCUGUAUUAAUAGAAAUCCUCCUCAUCUGCCAAUAGGCUCGCACCCUGUUGACAGCACUCAUGCUCUCAAAUCUUGAGAGCAAUUAAUUCGUGGGACUCACUUUUUUAUAUCCAUAUAAAUAGAGCAUAUAUCCCUCAAAAAUUUAUGAAAUUAUCCAUCCGACUUUUAAAUUAUACCAUCUCAGAGCUGAUGAGUGACAAGAUGAACAACGUUACUCAUUGCCUUUGAAUAUCCAUCCGACUUUUAGGAAAUUAUACCAUUUCAAGACCCAAAAUUGCAUUUGAAUUUAUUUUAAAUUACAGCCCUGAGGAAACUUCUAAGAUUUGUACUUUUAUUUUCAUAACAAAAUCCUAAGCUACUUCCGUUUGUUGCGUUUUUAAUUAAUUUCAGUUUACACCUUAAUCUUCUCUUAAUUUCUUUUCUUUUUUUUCAAACUCGCCAAUUGCGUUGCAAUGAUGCAAUCAACCCAAUAAGCUUGUUUGACCAGAGGUCUAAAGAUUCAAGUAAUGUUAGAUUUUCCAACAAUAAUGGAGCGCCACCUAUCAAGUUGUUGUGAGACAUUUGAGUGAAUUAAACUUUCCCACUAUUUACGGAAUUUCCCCUUGAAAUUGAUUGCUCAACAAAUGAAUUGACAUGAAAAUGGUUAGAAUCAUCUGUAUUUGUUGGUCUAUUCCUUCCAUGAUCAAACUUAUCAAUUCAUAGUAGGAGUUGAAAUCUUUAAGCCUCAUAAAUUUUGCUUAAUGAUCAACACAAUUGUUAUCUCCAUAUAUCAGGCUUUAAAAUUAUCAAGAUACUGAAUUGGCAAAACACGAGUCAGUUGAUUGUGAGAGCGAUCAAUUAUUUACAGCUUUGAAAUAGGAACUCUUGUUUGGGUAUGACCAAUGGGACUGCAAAUCAGUUAGAUCGUAAUAUAAUUACUUGCAAUUUAGGAAGAAUUUCUAACCAAUGAGAAGAGGUAUCAUUAACAUGAUUGUUCACAAUAUCAAAAAUUUCCAAAUGCUGAUAGUUAACCAAAGAUUGAGGCAAUAGUCCUUCCAACUGAUUGCUAUUAAGGUUAAAACUUAGGAAGUCACAGCUUUUUGCAAACAUUUGAGAAAUGCUGCAAAGAGUUGUAAUUUGAGAAAUCUUUAACCUUAAUGACAAUCAAUUAGAAGGAUUAUUACCUCUCUCUUUGGUUAACUGUUGGCAUUUGGAAGUUUUUGAUAAUAAAAAUGAUCAUGUUAAUAAUAUCUUUCUUUAUUGGUUAGAAAUUAUUCAUAAAUUGUAAGUGCUUAUAUUACGAUCUAACCAAUUUCGUGAUCCCAUUGGUCAUAUUAAAACAAGAGUUCCCUUCCCCAAGUUGGGAAUAAUUGAUCUCUCUCAGAAUUAACUCACUGGUGUUUUGCCAACUCAGUAUCUUGAAAAUUCUAAAGUCAUAAUGCGUGGGGAUAACAAUAAUGUUGAUUUCAACUCUUACUAUGAAUUAAUAAUUUUGACCAUAGAAGGAACCGACCAACAAAUGGAGAGGAUUCUAAUCAUUUUCAUGCCAAUUGAUUUGUCGAACAAUCAAUUUCGAGGAAAAUUUUAGAAGUGGUGAGAUAAAUUAAUUCACUUAAAUGUCUUAACAUUUUUCACAACAAGCUGACAAGUUGCAUUCCAUCAUUGUUGGGAAAUCUGUCAGAGCUUGAACGUUUUGACUUCUUCUCAAACAAGCUUAUUGGGCUGAUUCCAAUGCGAUUGGCGAGUCUGAAAUUUCUUUUCUUGCUAAAUUUUUUGUACAGCCAGCUUGAGGGACAUAAACCUCAAGGACCUCAAUUAACUACAUUUUCAAACGAUUUUUAUACUGUAAACUUGAGGUUGUGUGGUUUUCAUUAUCACAAAGCUAACAUUGAGACAUUAGAAUUGUUACUAACAAGAUUGGAUAAAAGAGAUAGUAAUUCGAGCUGGUUUGAUUGGAAGUUCGCUAAGAUGACCAAUGAACCUGGUGGCCUAUGGCAUGACACAUGUACAACACAUGGCAUAAUACAGGCAGAGUUUCAGUAGGGCACCAGAACGACAUGUGUCCGUACAACACGGUAUGAGCACAUUUUGAUAGGGCAUGUGGCACGACAUUACAUGGCACGUACGCGGGUUGAGCUAGGCUGGAUUAAUAAUUUUAGGUACAUGUGCUUAACAAGCACAAUACGAUUAGAGAUAGUAUAAAACACAACACAUGAAAAGGUCCGCAAUAAGAACGUUUAUCUGUUGGGCUAGCAUACGGCUUGCAGACCAUCAAUAACAUGUGGGCCAAUACAUAUUUUAGUAUUUUUUUUUUAUGAAAGUAAAAUUGAAAUUUUAUGAUUUUACAAAUAAUUUAAAUUUGAAUCUUUUUAUCUAUUUCAUUAGCAUAGUUUUUUAAAAAUUCAUUUAAUUCUUAGUUUUAAAAAAAUACUCUAAUUGUUUUACAUUUAUAAUUUACUAAAUGAAUAGAUGAUCAUGAUUUUAAAAAAUAAAAUUAUAAAUAUCAUGAUUUCAUAAAUGUAUGCAGUAAUGUGAUUAUUGAUACGAAAAUAUAGAUCAGCAAUAAGAGUUGAAAAAAAAUUAUUUACUUAGGGAACAAGUUGAGAGAGUUUGAUAUACUCAUAAUUGCCAUUAUUGAGAGUGAAAAGCUUGAUAAUCGGAAUUUUUUAAAACAAUAAGCCAUCAGGAUUCGCUUGGGGGUGUUAUCGUUGUAGACCCUCCGAUACUUAAGUUAAAGAUUAAAAAUAACAUGAUAAUAAAUAAAUAAUAAGAGAAAAAAGAGAAUAAGAGAAUAAAUAUUGUCAUACAAUAUACAUAUUUCGCAUGUAUCUUUAUAUGUAUACACACACACAGAGACACACACCUUUGAGUGAUGAUCUCUUUAUAUAAGAGUGCUAAUAAUAAAAAGUGUUUAAAUUUUAAAUUAUAAAUACCAUGUAAAUAUUGAAUUAAAAAAUAAAAUUAUAAAUACCAUGUAAUAGCAUUGCAGUUUCGUUGGCCAUCGCCUUGAAUUUAAAUUUUAAAAGAACCAAAGAAACAUAGUAAAUGUAAAAAUAACAUAAAAUAACAAAGCUUGAAGAAGUUUACUUCUUUACUUCUUGCAUUUUCAAACUCUACUAUUUUAGGGCUCAAAAUCACUUUCUAUUCUGCAUUUUAUAAAACUAGAAAUUAAAAAUACAAAAUUCUAUGGGAAUGUCGUGUGAUGCGUGGACACUGGGUAGAUAUUCACUGUUUAUAUCUCAGUGCCUUUUUCCUCACCCCUUAUGAGUAAGCUUUGAAUUAGGUACCCAAUUUGUCCAAGAGUUAGCGAGCCAAUGAUCACUCAUUCACUCUAAUUAGAUAUUUAGUGGAUGAAAAUUGAUUGGACGUAAAAGAAAAUGCAGAUGAAUAAUCGAAAUAACUUUCAAGUCCAAAAAAGCUUUGACUUACUUGAUGAUGUCUUGUUAUGAUCACCAAAUGGCUCAGUCUGUGCCGCGUCAACAUGUGAAAACUCAUCCACGUCACCAGCCUCAGCGCUCUCGCCACGUCAUCACUCAAGCGGUUGUAACUGAUGAUAAUUUGGAUAAGAAAAACAGUUGAAUUGGGUCUCUUUUCAACGGGAGAGCACCAAAGACAGAGAAACCAAAAUGGCGCGAGCUUUGCUUCGUUUGAAUAGCACGGCCACGGUCAUAAUGGCCAGUGCUACAAGUGCUACUAAAGAGACAGUUCUUGACGGAGCUCACUUUCAAAUGAAGAACCGAAAUGCCCGCGUUUUGGUACUUGGAGGUACGGGUCGGGUCGGUGCAUCCACUGCAGUUGCUCUCUCGAAGCUCUACCCCGACCUUCAGAUUGUAGUUGGCUCUCGAAACAGGUUAAAUAAUUAAUACCCUUUUCUUUCUUCUGUUUGGUUACCAAAAAAAGCAAGAAAUAAAGGAGGGAAAAUUUUCAAGCUUUGUUAUUUUUUAAUUUUUUUUGCGUUUACUAUGUUUCUUUGGUUAUUUUAAAAUUUAAAAUUCAAGGUGAUGGCUACUGGUAAACUGCAAUGCUUUUACAUGGUUCUGAAAGCACAUUUCUAAACAGUCACUCAACGACAAGUGAUUAUCAUGUCCCACAGUUGUAGAUUAGGGCUCCAAUUGGUAGUGAUGUUGUGCGGUCGUGGCUUGUUAAGACACAUCUACUCUUAAAUGAGAGCUGCUGUGAAACGAGAGCUCUAGUUAUGAAAUAAAAGUUCAUAGUGUCUGGUAAAUGCUACCUUAAAAUAAUCAUUUUGACAAAAAUAGUAAAGCUAAUAUAGGUCAGGCAAUUGUGGGUAAAAUCGUCAUAAUUUUCAAACUGUGAUUGUGAGUGUUUACCAAAUACUUUAAAGUUGUGAUUAGAUGGUAAUAAAAAAAGAGAACCUAAACAGUCCAUAAUAAUAUUGCCAAUGAGGCAAAAAUUGUAAUUCUCUCUCUUUUUGGUUUUCCUAAACAUUUGAAAGGCUGUUUUUGUUGAUUGAUAUGCUUUGACUGUGGUAUGUUAAUAUUUAGAAUGCUGUCAAACAUGCUAGUUCUUGGAUGGAACUAUGGGGACAUGGAGUUGUAAAUUCAAGUAGUUAUGGCUGGAAUAUUUCCUAAUUUACAGUGUUGCUGAGAAAAUUUUGCAUACCGCCAGGGAAAAAGGUGCUGCAAUGGUCUCUACAUUGGGGAAGAAUUCUGAAUUUGCUGAAGUUAACAUUUACAAUGAAGGCUCAUUAUUAAUGGCUUUAAGAGGUGAGAUCAUUCCUCACUGACUAGAUGUAUCUUCUAUUGUUCCACAUCAAUAAUUCUUUUUCUUCUAGAGUCGAAGUAAAGGGAUUUUUUUUUUAUUUUGCAGCGGAUAUUUCGUUAUUGACAAUAUUUUGAUGAUAUUUUAGUCUGUAUGUUAAAUGCUGUAACUUUGCUUCGUCAGAUGUGGAUCUUGUGGUUCAUGCAGCAGGACCUUUUCAACAGGCACCGAAAUGCACUGUAUUGGAAGCUGCCAUAGAGACCAAGGUGAGGAAAGGUAAAUGUUGUGUUUGAAUAUCUCUUUUCCAAGUCCAGUUUUCUAUGUUUUGUAUAUGUGAUAAUUGAAGCAUGUAUACAACUUUACUAUGUACCCAAGAUGUAAACUUAUGUGUUCUUUUUUGUGUCUCCUAACAGACAGCAUACAUUGAUGUUUGUGAUGAUACCAUCUACUCCCAGCGUGCAAAAUCCUUCAAGGACAGAGCAAUAGCUGCAAACAUUCCAGCCAUAACCACUGGAGGAAUCUAUCCAGGAGUGAGCAAUGGUGCUUUUAUGAACAUGAACAUUCUUGUCCUGCUAUCCGCACUUCUAGCACUGUAAAUGAUACGAUUAAGUGAAGAAUAAGGAUAGAGUACUAAUUCUUUAAUUGAAACAUGUGCAGACUACCAAUUCUUGCUUUAGAGCUAAAACUUAAUUGUUGGUAAACUCAUCGACCUGGCUCCAAAGUUCUUAUAUAUGGGUGCACAUAUUGGUUUGACAGAUAGCUUUAGUGACUUUAUAUCAUUAACUUGAGUAUUGCAACUAAGAUAAAGCUCAAAGCUUUCUUUGACAAAGUCUUCAAAAUCUUGAGCUACUUGCACGACAUAAUGAUUUGAAGAAAUAAUAAUGUUGAUGUAGGAAAUGGUGUGGGCAACUUUUAUUUGUUUGUCUUGGGCCAGUAUGUUGGAUUUGGAAAUAUUGGAAGCUUGCAACGAUACAAGAAUCAUUCACCGCCUGCAGACAGCUAUGAUCCAUAUAUGCGAUUUUUGCCAUGUUUAUUUUUCAUAAGAAAUUCAAAUGCUACUUCAGAUUCUAUUAAUAAAUCCCGAAUUCUUGUACAUCCAAAUUUCAUUGUUUCAUGAUUUAUCAUAAUCCAAUAAAGUCUUGAAUGCUUGUACCAAUUCAAAGGUUAGUUGUGGAUCAACAAAAAGAAAUAAAAUGUAUGGGGCUGGACACAUGUCCUAUAUAUAUAUACCAGUUAAUUUUUUUGCCAAGAUAUCUCCACUGUUGGUUAUCUGCUUGAGUCUGAAGCAAUUGUCAACAUUAUAUUGUCUCCAAUAAAUACCUUGAUUGCAUAAAUCAAGCACUUGAUUACUAGCGUAAUCUUGGGGCUAGCUGUAUACUUAUUGUAAAAUACCCAAAUUAUUGGGAUUGAUUAUUCUACUUACCUUGUACAGAAUUAUUUUACAACUAUAAGAACUGGUAUGUCUCAACAAAUUGGGAGAACCUUUUUUCCAAAAAUUAUUUGUCUCUUUUGUUCUCUUUUAUUUGAUAUGGUAUCAGAGCUAUGCAUGUAUAAGAGAAAAUCUUGAAAUUUCUUAUAACAUCAUAGCAAGUUGUUGUGUUGUUCGCGGAUAGAGAUAUCAACUUUCAUUCGUGGAAAUUGAGAUCUUAUUGUUGCAAUCUUGAUUGAGAGUUUGAAUCGUGUCGGUGGGACAUCUUGGGUAAGUGAACAUUUUCUUUAUUCUAGUGUUUAAAAUGUCACAAUCAGAAACCUUGGGUAUCAAAUUAGAUGGGAAAAACUAUUUCUCUUGGGAAUUUCAAUUUCGCAUGUUUGUGAAAGGAAAAGACUUGUGGGGUUAUGUUGAUGGGUCUGAUUCUAGGCCACAAGAAGGAACUGAUAGUGUGAAAAUAAAGGAAUGGGAUUCAAAUAAUGCUAAAAUAAUUAGUUGGAUUUUGAGCUCUGUUGAUGCUCGUAUUGUUCUUAGUUUGAGGCCUUUUCGUUGUUCUAAGGAUAUGUGGAAUUAUUUAAAAAAAAUUUACAAUCAAGAAAACUCUGCUAGAUGUUUUCAACUUGAAUUAGAGCUGUCUGAAUAUAGUCAAGGGAACUUGUCAAUACAAGAUUAUUAUUCUGGUUUUUUAAAUCUAUGGGCUGAAUACCAAGAAUUGGUUUAUGCUACUGUUUCACAAGAGGGGCUGUCUACUUUGCAACAAGUGCAUGAAGUGUCUAAACGAGAUCAGUUUCUUAUGAAAUUAAGGCGUGAUUUUGAACCUAUUCGUGCCAAUCUAAUGUCCAGAAUUCCUUCUCCAUCUUUGGAUAUAUGUCUUGCUGAACUUCUUCGUGAAGAACAACGAUGUAUAACUCAAUCUGUUCUUGAAAUAAAGAAUAAUCAGGUAUCUAAUCCAAUGGAGGUGGCAUUUGCAUCGCAAGCACAUGCAAGGGACAUGAGCAAAGUGCAAUGCUAUAGUUGCAAAGAAUUUGGACAUAUAGCCAAACAAUGCAAAAAGAAAUUUUGUAACUAUUGCAAGAAACCUGGACAUGUGAUUGAUGAAUGUCGACGACGGCCUCAAAAUAAAAAUCCUCAAGCCUUGCAAACUACUAGCUCAAAUUCACAUUCAGAACCUAGUUCCACAAGCCUUACUCCUGAAGUGGUACAACAGAUGAUUUUUUCAGCAUUAUCAGCUCUUGGUGUUUCAGGUAAAAAUGCUUCUUCAUCUCAUUGUUACAUUGAUUCUGGUGCUUCCAACCAUAUGACACCUUCAUCCACAUCUCUUGUCAAUGUGAAACCAUCCUUGGGAAAUUUAGAAAUUCAAACAGCAAAUGGAGAAAGUGUUCCUGUUAAAUCAAUUGGUGAUAUUCCACAUACUUUGCCUUUAACUAAUGUAUUUCAUGUGCCUUGUUUAACUUCGAGUCUUAUUUCUGUUGGGCAAUUGGUUGAAGAUAAUUGUACAGUUUUUUUUUCAAAAUCUGGUUGUAUUGUACAGGAUCAAGAAACGGGGAAAGUGAUCGGGAAGGGACCUAAAUGUGGAAGACUGUUUACUCUAAGCUUGCCUGGCUAUCUCAAGAAUAAAGCCUUGUUCUCUUCACAUUAUUCUACUUUCAUUUCUCUUUUUCAAUUGUGGCAUAAACGUUUGGGUCAUCCAAAUACCAAAACUUUGUUAUCGUUGAUAAAGAGUCGAUUGAUUUCUAAUAAAGAUUUUGUUAAUUCUUCAGAUGUGGUAUUUAAUUGUGAUAGCUGUAAACUUGGUAAAAGUAAAACACUGCCUUUUCCAGUACAUCAAAAUAAUGUAAAAAGUUGUUUUGAUUUGAUUCAUACAGAUGUUUGGGGACCAUCUCCUUUUCCUUCUCAUUCUCGUAAGAAAUAUUUUGUUUCCUUCAUUGAUGACUAUAGCCGUCACACAUGGAUUUAUUUUUUACAUAAUAAAUCUGAUGUAUUUGAUGCCUUUAAACGUUUUCUUGCAUAUACAAAAAAUCAAUUUUCCACUUCUAUCAAAAUCUUAAGAUCUGAUUCUGGAGGGGAAUACAUGUCUAAUGAUUUUCAAAAUUUUCUUCAAAAUGAAGGAAUAAUAUCUCAAAAAACUUGCCCAGACACUCCUCAGCAAAAUGGAAUAGCUGAAAGAAAAAAUCGACAUCUUUUGGAUGUUACUCGUGCUUUGCUUCUUGAUGCAUCUGUACCUUCUCAUUUUUGGGUGGAAGCCUUGUCUACAGCUGCAAACUUGAUUAAUUGUAUGCCAUCAUUUAACCUUUAUAAUGAGUCUCCAUAUUUCCGUUUGCAUAAUAAACAUCCUGAUUAUACUCAAUUACGUGUUUUUGGCUGUCUUUGUUAUUGUCAUCUUCCUGCAUCAGAUAGAAAUAAAUUGACUGCACAAUCUGCAAGAUGUGCAUUUCUUGGGUACGCAUCUGAUCGCAAAGGUUUCCUUUGUUAUGAUCCCAAAGCUCGUCGUACUCGCAUAUCUCGGAAUGUUAUUUUUGUUGAAAAUAUUUAUUUUUUUCAAAAUACCCAUGUCACUACUUCUUUAUCUCCAUGUUCUAAUCUUCAUGACUUUGAUAGUGAUAUUCCUAACAAGGCAAGGUUUAAUCUUGGGAUAGAAAGUGAGCAACGAGACAAAACUAACAGUGAAGAAACAGAGGGUCCUCAGCGAGAAUCUUCCUUAUCUCUUGAUCCAAGCCCUGAAACACAUGAUCCAAGUCUUGAAACACAUGAGUCAAACACAAUAUCCGCUGCACCUCCAUUACGAAGAUCUAGUAGACAAAUCAAACCACCUGACCGCUUGUCUCUUGUGGCCACAUUGUCACCUAUGAGUAUUCCAAACUCUUAUUCCCAAGCCAAACAAUAUUCACAUUGGCAGGUUGCAAUGGAUGAAGAGCUAGAAGCGUUAAGAAGAAAUCAUACAUGGGAUAUUGUCUCUUGUCCCGCUGGUUGUACACCAAUCGGGUGCAAAUGGGUUUACUCUAUCAAACAAAAAGCUGAUGGUUCUUUGGAUCGUUAUAAAGCUCGUUUGGUUGCUCUUGGGAAUUGGCAAGAAUAUGGUAUAAACUAUCAUGAGACUUUUGCUCCAGUGGCCAAAAUGACCACAGUUCGCAUUUUGUUAGCGAUUGCGGGUUCACAAGCAUGGCCUCUUUUUCAAAUGGAUGUAAAAAAUGCAUUCUUGCAUGGAGAUCUACAAGAAGAAGUCUACAUGAAGCUUCCGCCUGGAGUAAGCUCUAAUUCAAAAGCUCAAGUAUGUCGUCUACGACGUUCUCUUUAUGGGCUUAAACAAGCACCACGUUCAUGGUUUACAAAGUUUGGUCAAAUACUGCAUCAGUUGGGUUUUCACCAGAGCUCUAAUGAUCCUUCUAUGUUUAUUCGACGUUCAGCUGCUAGUAUCAUUAUUCUUCUUGUUUAUGUAGAUGAUAUAAUUAUUACGGGGACUGACACAUUUGGUAUCCAGCAAUUUAAGGAGUCUUUGCAUUCAUAUUUUCAAAUGAAAGAUCUUGGCAAUCUCACUUAUUUUCUUGGCCUUGAGGUAUAUCAUUCAAGUGAAGGCAUCUACGUCCAUCAGCAUAAAUACACAAAAGAUUUAAUUGCUUUGGCAAGACUUGAAGAUUCAACGGUCAUAAACACUCCACUUGAGAUCAAUGUUAAAUAUUCGAAAGAUGAUGGUGACUUGCUUUCUGAUCCUACACUAUAUCGGAAACUAGUUGGGAGUUUGAUUUAUUUGACGAUUACCCGACCAGACAUCUCUUAUGCAGUGAACUUAAUGAGCCAAUUUAUGCAUGAGCCUCGACAUUUACAUCUUUCAGCAGUUAAAAGAAUAAUCCGUUAUUUGCUUGGGACUCCUAAUCGUGGACUAUUUUACAAGGCUAGCUCCCCUCUUGUUCUCAAAGCUUAUAGUGAUGCUGAUUGGGCUGGGUGUUCAGACUCUCGUCAAUCAACUACAGGUUGGUGUAUGUAUCUUGGUGACAGUCUUGUCUCUUGGAAAUGCAAAAAACAAGAGAGGGUGUCUAAAUCCUCUACUGAAGCCGAGUAUAGAGCUAUGUCGGGUGCUUGUUCUGAAAUCGUAUGGCUACGACGACUUGUAUCUGAAUUGGGUUUUCCUCAAGCGUCUCCAACGCUAUUGCAUGCUGAUAACAAGAGUGCCAUACAAAUUGCUGAAAAUCCUGUAUUUCAUGAAAGAACUAAACAUAUUGAGGUUGACUGCCACUAUAUUCGAGAUGCUUAUGCUGAUGGUACCAUUCAAUUACCUCAUGUGUCCACAACAUUUCAAAUUGCAGAUAUAUUUACAAAGUCCCUGACCAAGAUACGGCAUCAGUUCUUGGUUGGCAAAUUGAAGCUUGUUGAUUCACCAGCAUCAAUUUGAGGGAGGCUGUCAACAUUAUAUUGUCUCCAAUAAAUACCUUGAUUGCAUAAAUCAAGCACUUGAUUACUAGCGUAAUCUUGGGGCUAGCUGUAUACUUAUUGUAAAAUACCCAAAUUAUUGGGAUUGAUUAUUCUACUUACCUUGUACAGAAUUAUUUUACAACUAUAAGAACUGGUAUGUCUCAACAAAUUGGGAGAACCUUUUUUCCAAAAAUUAUUUGUCUCUUUUGUUCUCUUUUAUUUGAUAGCAAUAACAGAAAAAAAAUAGAAAAGAAAACAAUGACUAAUAUGACUAGUUAUUAUUAAAUUAGUCGUUAAAUAGUUAUUUAUUCUUAUUACGAUAAUUGAGGCAAUAAAUUGCACAUUCUUGUUUAAUUUUGAGUUCUUCAUUGAUAACGUUCAAAUUUUUAUUUUUUAUUUGAUUUUUUUUCCUAAUUUUAGGGGGGAGAAAAGGUAAAGAAUGAGAGAUUAUUUAAUAAAUUAAAUUUAGAGCACAAGCACAGAAGCAUUAAGCUCCUGCUAAACUGUUGUUCGACUUGCAAGUUUUUGGAUCAAAUAAUAAAGUUUGUGCCUUGAGAAGUUAGCUCAUGGCUGGAAUGUUAUUUCUAAUCUAGAGCUAGCGUCCUGAGACAACAGAAGUUAACAUUAACAAUAGAAGACUCAAUUGGUAGACAUUAUUCUUUUACACUAAAUACACAAUUGAGUUCACAGCUAUUCAAAAAAUGGGGCAGUUUUUUAUUUAAUUACAAAAUUACCCUUAUUGAAACCCAUAUAAGAGUAUUUAUAUUAAUUAGUUAUAUUGCUUCUUCAACUAUCAUCAAAUUCUUAUUCGAGUUCAUCAUUUAAGGAAUAAAUGUGUACUAAAUAAUCUCAAAUGAUGUACUAAGCAAAUAUUUUGAGAAAUAAGACUCAUUAUGGCUCCUUUCAUUAGUUGUAUCUUUAAUUUCUUAUUAAUGAAAUUCUCUCGCAUUGCCCAAAAAAAUAUUGUUAGCGUCACCAUUGAAAGGGGCCAAAUUAUGUAUUGUCUGACUAGUGAAACUCUUAUCAUAUCUGCUAAUACGUAUCAGGAAAAUUAUAUUGUUGCAGGAAAAUAGAUUUUCCAAAAAUCUGUCCUUUGGCCGACCGAUCCUAUAUGAUCCUUGUUCAAAUUGGCCCCGUGUGUGGCACGUCAACAUGUCAAAACUCGGCCACGUCAUCAACUUCGCAAAAUUCUCGCCACAUCAUCACUGAACUGGUUACGACGGAUGAUAAUUUGGACAAGCAAAACAGUUGAUAAUUACAAAGAGGGAACACUAAAGGCAGACCAAAGUGGCGCGAGCUUCGCUUAUUUGUACCAAGUAAAUGAAUUUUAGCUGAAAAAAAAGUAGGCCCAUAAUUAUAAAGCAAUGGCCCAGUACUAUACACGUCAUUACAAAAAAAAAAAAAAAAUCGAAACAGAGCUCAAUUUCAAACGAAGAUCCAAAACGCCAGCAUUUUGGUGCAGCCGUUGCUCAGAGUUUUUUCUUUUUAUAUGCCGAAGAAGUGCUUAUUUUCCAAAUAUAUAUCCCUUCUUUCCAUUUAUUCACUUAUAUACGACAAAUUCACCUGCAUAAAGAUUGAAAUACUCUCAUUUGUGAAUUACAAGUUGCAAAUUUUCUAUUUCAAGAUGAAGUUCAUUUACCUGUUCUUUACCAUCUUCAAAAUUUUCCUCUCAUUUUUAUUUCACUUUCUCAACUUCAAAAUUUACCUGCAUAAAGAUUUCUGAUUUCGAAUUAGAAUUGUGAUUCUUCACUUUCUGAUCCUUCCUAUGAGUUUCAUGGCUGCGGAAAAUGUAGAAGUACUAGUUUGAGAUUUUAUAAAUUGUUCAAAAAACCUCUGUCCAAUAGAUUAUAAGGAUAAGCAACAAGACUUGGUGCUCAAAAGUCUAAAAGUAUUAUAAAGACUUGGUAACUCUCUUAUUCACCUGCAUGGCAUAUCUGUUCUUGUGCCUUCAAUAAGAAAAAAGAUAGUAUGGAUUAUUUAACUCAGCCUUUUCAACUUUUGAUUUGCCUCCAGUUAUUGCUCUUAUAUCUUCAGUGGACUUGACUGAAAUGCUCAUUAAUGACUAGAAAAAAUUAUCUUAACUUAUAAGGUGGACUUGACUGAAAUGCUAAUUAAUGACUUUGAGAAAGAAAGACUUGUCAAGUUUUUCUAUACAUACCUCUUAAUUUGGACAUAUCUUAGGUCACUAACUUUCAACUUUUCUGAUCCUUCCCAUGAGUUUCACUAUCAUAGCCGUGGAAAAGAAGUUUGGAGUUUUACAAAAUUGGGAAAAAAUAUUAAUUAAGAUUACUGCUCCGCAAUUCAUGCAAUUGACCAGGAGAAAAGAUCACUUUAGAGCCUUAUAGGGGGAAGGGAUUGAAGGAAAGAUGCCUUUCUAUUUUAAGUUCAGUAGUAAGAAAGAGCAGGCAACUUGGCAUAAGUUUUCAGCUUAAGUUCAUACAGUUGACCAGUUACAUACAUAUAUGAUGACUUAAAAUAUCUGAGAGUUCGGGUUUCUUUUAGUAUAAACGCAUCUGCUUUUGGACAGGUUCGUGGAAAAACUAGAAUAUGUUUUUGAUUUGGUAAAUUAUGUAUUGUUUUGACCAGUUACAUACAUAUAUGAUAACUAAUGGAAGGUCUAACAACUUAGCUUAACAAACUGUAACAGAAUCAAAACAGGGGAGGGAAGAUGAAUUGUGUUUGUGUAAAUGACUGUUAGUCUAGUUAGCUGUUACGCCGGCAAAUAUGAUAACGAACAUCUCGCCGAACUUAAGUAAAUAUCUAAAUGGUUAUUAAUUGGAUACAGCUUCAGCUUUUGGACUGGUUUAUGGAAAUUGAAAAAAUUUGACAAGUGUUCCUCUUGAAGAAUCAAAGUCUACUUUAUACGUGAAGAAAGGGGAUCCCAGUAAAGAUAAUCCAUCAAUGUUCAGUUACAUUCGAGCGUGUUGACUACUUUUAGGAUGAAAGACUUCUAUUGUCCCAAGGAGUUUUACGAGGUCCAUACACAGAGCUGCAAACAGCGUAAGUUACACUCCCCUUAUGCAACAUUCAAAUGAAAUCCAUACAAUCAUGCAAGUCAAAUCAAUACAUACUGAAUAGCUUACCUCAGAAUCUUCACCUGCUGACGCGAGAAUGUUUAGAACCUUUGAGGAUGCAAGGCCAGUUACACUCCCCUUAUGAACAAAUUCAGUGGCAGCCUUCCUCAAACAUUUGCAAAAAGUUGUGUCUUGACAAGUCUUAACCUCAAUGGUAAUUGGUUGGAAGGACCGAUGCCUCCAUCUUUGGUUAACUAUCGGCAUUAUAAGCUGGUUUAUGUAUUGUUCAUGGAGUAGAUAACCAGCUGAUAUGUUUCAUAUUCUAACAGUUGAUAUACAAAAAUCCCAAUUCAAAUUAUGUUUAUAAUCAGCGUCUAUAGUCUAUAGAGAGAAAGAAAAUGAGGGUCAUACAUAAGAAAUCAAUGAUAGGACGUGUUCUCUUGAUCAGGAAUUUUAGACUUUUGGAAGCUAGUAGUGGAAGUCAAAUAAUCUCCAGGUACCAAAAUAUGUUUUGCUUUCAUUUCCAUUGCAUAAGAACAUGAUAUCACACACUUAUAUUUUGAUGGUUAACUUGAUCAAAAUUUUCAGGAAAAAGUUAUUUAAAAAUAAUUUUGAUGUAGGAAUGAUUUGGGGUGAAAUUCAUUUGGUGCCAUUUAGGCCACAUUUUUUCAAUUGGGCGUAUGGUAUAUACUUUUUCAAAGCUGGUGACAAGAUGAACAAUGUUGCCCAUUUGCCUUUGAGUCUGAUGCCCGUGGGGCUUUUACGAAAUUGUACAAUUUCAGGACUCAAAAUCCCAUUUGAAGUUAUUUCAAAUUCCAGCACUUCGGGAAAUUUCUAAGAUUUGUACUUUACUACUUUUAUUUUCAUAACCAAUUCUUAUUUUCUUAGCACUUUUUGGAGAACAUACAACUGAAAUCAUUUUUACCUAAUAACCUAGCAAAAAGCUACUACAUAUCACAAUGUUGACCUCUGGGCUAAUCAAGCAUUUGACUUUCCUAAUACAAUUUAUCACAAAACGAUUAUCCCUUUUCAUAUUUUAAGUUCAAUAAUAAGAAAGAGGAGGCACCUUCCAAAUGUAUGCACCUUUUUUAGUUUUAUCCCACAAAACUUUAUCACAAAACAAUGGCCUUUUCAUAUUUUGAGUUAUUGCUCAAUCCCUUUACAAAAAAUUAUGCACAUUUACUAGGGAUAGAAAAUUGAAAAGAAAAUUUUCGAUAAGAAAACAGCUGAAUAAUCGAAUUUCGAGUCUUUGGUGGACGUUAUUCUUUUAUACAAAAUAUAUCUUUGAGUUAAACAAUUAUUAAAACAUUGGGGCUAGUUUUUCAUUUAACUACAAAAUUACUUUUUUUGAAACCCAUAAAACCAUUUUUAAGUGGUAAAUUAGUUCUAUCACGUCUUCAACUAUUGCCAAAUUCUUAUUUGAGUUCACCAUUUUACUAGUAAAUGCGUUAUCUAAAUAAUUUCAAAUGAUGUAUUAAAUAAAUAUUUUGAGGAACAAGACUCAUUAUGUCUCCUCUCAUUAGUUGUAUUUUUAAUUUCUUUUUAAAAGAUUCUCUCAUAAUCAAUUAAAAAAAUUCAGCCACCCAAAAAAAAAAAAAGUAUUUAGCUUCGCGGCGGAAUGGGGGCUAAAUUGUGUAUUGUUUAACUGGUGAAACUCUUACCACAUCGACUAAUAUGCUGCUUUUGCUAGUGGCAGUGGUGGCAACAGAGCUUGCUCAUAUUGGUAGAAGUGAAAGCAAAGGAGAGACAGAGAGACUAAUUAAGGUUUAUUAUGGUGAAGUCCUGGGUCAGUCGCUUUUGCUGAAAUGAUUGCAAGUAAUCUCCCACUAUGACUGCCAUUUUUAUCUUAUUUAAGUUUCGGUGAAGCCCAUUCACAUAAAAUAAUUGGCAGGAAGUGUUAAGGAGAAAAGAUCGUCCUAAUUCAAUGUCUGGGGGUGCUGCAAUCACUUUUUAUUACUAAAUAUUUUUAAAUUGGAAUAAUGUAUUAACAGAAUAAAAAAUUUCAUAAUCUAACAAUUGAUUUACAACAACCCGAGUCCUGAUUAAAUUCAAAUAAUAAUUAUAAUCAACAUCUAUAGGAAAAUUGAAAACGAGAAUCAUAUGUAAAAAGAAAUCAUUUCGUAUGCCCAUUACCAUAUUAUAUUUGUACAUUAGAAAUUAAUAUAAAAUAAUAAUUUAAUAAUUAAUUUAAUAUAAUUAAUAAUAAAGCAGUAAUAAAUUUAAACAAUAUUAAUACAAAAUUAAUAAAGUAUAAUCUAACAUUAAAUACUAUACAAUAUUAUUAUAAUAAAAUACUAAUUCAAUACCACAUAAAGUAAUAUACUUGCAUUAUUUGGAACUGGCAUAAAGUAAAAUUAAUAAAGUAUAUCAACGCACAUGGAAAAUGCGACUUUUGAAGAAUGCAGUAAAUGGAAGGUUAAAUAGACUUCGUGCAUGCUGUAAAUUUAAAUGAAUCAUAAUUAAUUUCAAAAGGUAGUAAAUGGAAGGCCGAACAACUUUUUUAACAAACUGAAACAGAAUUAAAUCAAUUGUGCUUUGUGCAUAAUGUAUAUGACUGACUAACUAACUAACUACGAGUUUAGCUGCCUGCCACAUCAGCAUUAUAUAACACAUAACUAAUAUCAUUCCGCGUCGAGCAUGUCGUCAAGAUCCCCCUCUUGAAAGGAUUCCACUUACCACCUAAAUUCCAAAGCAAGAAGACUUGGUGCUGUAAGUCAAUAAAUAUUAUAUUAUUAAUUAAUUACACACCAUAUUCAACUUCUAUAAAUAGUCAUUAUAUCUCUCUCUCUUCUUGUGAUUUCAUCAUCCAGAAAAGAAAAAGAAAAAGAAAAAGAAAAUGGGUUAUAUCACUCAGCCUUAUCAACUUUUUAUUUGCCUCCAGUUAUUGCUCUUCUAUUCUCAGUGUUCAGCAAUACUUUGCUCUCACCACCAAAGUUCUGCUUUACUCCAAUUUAAGCACCUCUUUUCCUUUGAAAAACAUUCUUCAUGGUUUUGUGAAACAUUUCAACUACAAAUAUCUCGUCCAAAGAUGAUGUCUUGGAAAGAGGACUCUGAUUGCUGCUCCUGGGAUGGAGUAGCAUGUGAUUCGGCGACGGGUCACGUGAUUGGCCUCGACCUCAGUUGCAGUUGGCUUCACGGCAACAUCCCUUCCAACAGUAGCCUUUCCUUGCUUCCUCGCCUGCGAAAGCUCAACCUGGCUUUCAAUGAUUUCAAUGGCUCUAAGAUUUCUUCUGGUUUUACUAAUCAAUUUCCGAGCUUGACACUCCUUAACCUCUCUUGGAGCAAUUUCUCAGGGUCAAUUCCUACGUCACUAGGUAACAAUAUUACACAACUUGCUUAUUUGGAUCUCUCACAAAACAGUUUUACUGGUUAGAUUCCAUCAUCUUUUUCAAAUCUCCACCAGCUUCGUCAUUUAGAUCUUCGGUCCAGUAACAUUGUUGGUAAAAUUCCUGCAUCAUUAGGUAACAAUAUUACACAACUUGCUUAUUUGGAUCUCUCACAAAACAGUUUUACUGGUCAGAUUCCAUCAUCUUUUUCAAAUCUCCACCAGCUUCGUCAUUUAGAUCUUCGGUACAGUCACUUUGUUGGUGAAAUUCCGGAUAUUUUUACCAACCUAACCCAACUUUCUGAUUUAGACCUGUAUGGGAAUCAACUGACUGGCUCGAUUCCAAGUUCAAUAUUUGAACUUUUGAAUUUGACAUUUUUCUCUCUUUCUUUUAGCAAUUUCAGUGGCAGCGUUGAGCUUUACGAUUUUGCAAAGUUAAAAAAUCUUAACUAUCUUUUUCUUUCUAAUAUUAGUUUAUCAGUGAGCACCAAAUUAACAGUCAACUCGUCUUUCCCUAAUCUUCUGGGGUUGGGUUUACCGGCUUGCAAUAUAAGUGAGUUUCCAGGCAUCUUGAGAACUCAUCAUCAGUUAGAGUGGUUGGACCUUUCUAGAAACCAAAUCCGUGGUAGGAUUCCCAGUUGGAUGUGGGAGAUCGGAGUACAUACUUUGUAUGUCCUAGAUCUUUCACGAAACUUCCUGACAAGCAUAGACCAUCUUCCGUGGAAAAAUCUCCAAUAUCUUACCCUUGAUUCGAACCUACUUCAAGGAUCACUUCCAGAUCUACCACCUCACAUGGUACGGCUUUCAAUUUCCAACAAUAAUUUGACCGGAGAGAUUCCUUCAUCAUUUUGUAAUUUGAAUUCCAUUCAAUCUUUUGACGUAUCCAACAAUAGCUUGAGUGGACAAAUUCCACAGUGUCUUGGAAACUCUACACUUGACACUUUGGAUUUCCGAAUGAACAACUUCCAAGGUAGCAUCCCACAGGCAUAUGCAAAGGGCUGCAACUUGAUUAAUCUUCAACUGAAUGGCAAUCACUUGGAGGGACCAUUGCCAUCUUUGAUUAACUGUGUGAAUUUGCAAUUUCUUGAUGUUGAGAAUAACAACUUGAGCGGCCCAAUUCCAGAAUAUCUUGGAAACACAACACGUUUGUCAUUUCUUAAUGUUGGGAAUAAUAGCUUGAGCGGCCCAAUUCCGGAAUGUCUUGGAAACUCAACACUUGAAAUCUUAGAUAUGAGAAUGAACAAGUUCAACGGCAGCCUCCCUCAAACAUUUGCAAAAAGUUGUGUUUUGGCAAUUCUUAACCUUAAUGGCAAUCGGUUGGAAGGACCAUUGCCUACAUCUUUGGUUAAUUGUCGAUAUUUGGAAGUUAUAGAUGUUGGGAAUAACAACUUGAGCGGCUCAAUUCCAGAAUGUCUUGGAAACUCAACAGGUUUGUCAUUUCUUGAUGUUGGGAAUAACAACUUGAGCGGCCCAAUUCCAGAAUGUCUUGGAAACUCAACACGUUUGCGAUUUCUUGAUGUUGGGAAUAACAGCUUGAGCGGCCCAAUUCCAGAAUGUCUUGGAAACUCAACACUUGAAGUCUUGGAUAUGAGAAUGAACAAGUUCAACGGCAGCCUCCCUCAAACAUUUGGAAAAAGUUGUGUUUUGGAAAGUCUUAAACUUAAUGGAAAUCGGUUGGAAGGACCAUUGCCUCCAUCUUGGGUUAAUUGUCGACAUUUGGAAGUUAUAGAUGUUGGGAACAAUCAGAUUAAUGGUACCUUUCCCCACUGGUUAGACGUUCUUCCCAAAUUGCAAGUUCUUACAUUGCGUUCUAAUAGAUUUGGUGGUCCCAUUGGUGAUACCAAAACAAGAGUUCCCUUCCCCAAGUUGCGAAUAAUUGAUUGCUCUCACAAUCGACUCACCGGUGUUUUGCCACUACGGUAUUUGGAUAGUUUUAAAGCCAUGAGGCCUGGGAAAAACAAUAGUGUUGAAGUCAAUUAUAUGAGGUUGCCAGAUUCUUCUAAUUACUAUGAGUCAAUAUUUCUGACUAUGAAAGGCAUUGACUUACAAAUGGAGAGGAUUCUAACAACUUUUGCAACUAUUGAUUUGUCCAGCAAUAGAUUUCAAGGGAAAAUUCCAGAAGUAGUCGGAAUGCUGAAUUCACUCAAAAGUCUCAACAUUUCCCACAACAACCUGACAGGUGGUAUUCCAUCAUCGCUGAGAAAUCUGACAGAGCUUGAAUCUCUAGACCUCUCUUCAAACAAGCUUGCUGGACGUAUCCCAACGCAACUGGCCAGUCUGAAUUAUCUUUCGGUGUUGAAUCUUUCGAACAACCAGCUCAACGGACCCAUACCACUAGGAUCCCAAUUUAAUACAUUUGGAAAUGAUUCCUAUUCUGGUAACUCAGGGUUGUGUGGAUUCCCAUUAUCAGAGAGCUGCAGCAUUGAUGAGGCACCAGAACCAACAACACCAACAAAACCAACAGGAUUUCUCGAAGGAGAUUAUGCUUCAAGCUGGUUUGAUUGGAAGUUUGCUACGUUGGGUUACGUAUCUGGAGUGGUGAUCGGCUUUUCCAUCGGAUACAUGGCAUUUGUGACUGGAAGGCCACAAUGGUUUGUAAGAAUGAUCGAAAGGAAGCAAUCCAGAAAGCUGAGAAGGGUGAUCAGACGAGGCAGAGCAAGUAGAAGAAGUUUGUAGAUGCAUCUCUAAAGGCCCAGGUGAGUAAUUAUUACGUGGGUGCAUUGCUCUUCUUGGAGAAAAUGUAUUAAAUGAAAUCGCACACAUCUGCCAAUGGGCUUGUACAACGUUGACGGCACUCACAUUUGAGGGUUAAAAGUAAUUUUCGAAGAUCUUUUAUUGUAAUAUAUGUAUCUAUAUUUCAAAAGGAAGAAACCACCGUCAUCCAAAUUUAAUUAAGAAAAAUCUGCACUUUUUCAUAUAUCAACUUUUUUUCGUUUUGUAGAAACAAAAAUAAUUAUGCGUAAAAUGAAACCAAACGGCCAUUAAAUUUAGACGGGUUUUCAUAGCUAUGCCAUACCUUAACAGCAGUCCCCACAUACGGCGCGGCCCAUGAUUCCACUUAUAACACGUUCUCAAGAAAAUGGUUUGAAUAAUUAAAAAAACAUUGGCCCAAAAUCUCUAACCUUUUAUGAUCCUUGUUCAAACGGCCCAGUACUUGCCACGUCAACAUGUGCAAACUCAUCCACGUCACCAGCCUCAGCGCUCUCACCACGUCAUCACUCGAUGAUCAUUUGGAUUAAGAAAAACAGUUGAAUUGGGUCUCGUCAGUCGUCACAGAGGCCGAGCACAAAAGACAAAGAGAAACUGAAAUGGCGCGAGCUUUGCUUUAUUUGAAUCGCACGGCCACGGCCAUAAUAGUUAUGUUGAUUGAUGUGGUUUGACUUUCGUAUGUUAUUAUUUAAAUCCCCUAAUAUGUUAAAAUUUAAAAAACUGUAAAACUUGUUUAAAGUACCAUAAAUAUAAAAAUUACUCUACUCAACAUCUCAACCAUAAAUUAUAUAAAUAACUAAAUAUAAAUACAAAGUUAAAAACCAUGUCUCAUUCCUUUAAAAAACACACAAUUUUAUUCCACAAUCUAAGCAAAGAGUUCAUCAAUUUAACAAAUAAAAUAAAAACACACAACUCAAUACCACAAUUUAGACCAGGAGUUCAUUAGUUCAUUGGUUUAACAAAGAGUUCAUCAAUUUUUUUUUUUAAAUUGUUAAAUGAGAGAGUUGGGUCACAUAAAGCCCGAACCCUGACCCAAAUUUAAUUAAACUUUUAUUUUUUAAGCUUGAGUUCGAUUUUUGACCCUUAAAUUCGGGUCAAAGCCCUAAAAAUUCGAGUCUAGCCAAUCCGGUCAAAAAUCGGGUCGGGCUUUUUUGCCAUCUUUAUCCAAGACAUUGUGGAAUUGGGCUGCUGAAGUUGUUAUUCCUGAAAUUAAUAAACAUCAAACCAAUACAAUUAACUAAAUAUGGUGACAAUGAUCCUUCUAGGUGAUUGUCAUUCAGCGUAAGAGCUUUAUGGGAGGUUAAUUUCAGUACUCCCUCAAUUAUCAAUAUAAUUGAGUAGAGAUUGUCUCUCCCUUACGAAAUGUGAGUGGAGUAGGCACCCUUGAAUAUUAGAGAGAGUUAAAAAUAUAUGAACAAGUGCUUCAGUGUGUCAAUGUAUGGUGAUGGUCUCAGUUAUAUAAUAUGAUUGUAAAUAUUAAUUGUAAUGUCUGAUAUAAUGUCAGUAACAUCUGUAUAUAACAGACUUAAAAAAAAAAAAAUAGACCCAGUACAUUGAUUAACUCAUUUCAAUGGCUCAAAUCCAUGCCAUUUAGGUUAGUAGACCUAAUACCUUGAUUACUGCAUCAUUAGGUAACAAUAUUACACAACUUGCUUAUUUGGAUCUCUCAUCUAACAGUUUUAGUGGUCACAUUCCAUCAUCUUUUUCAAAUCUUCAGCAGCUUCUUCAUUUAAAUCUUCAAUACAAUAACUUUGUUGGUAAAAUUCCGGAUAUGUUUACCAACCUAACCCAACUUUCUUUUUUAAACUUUGCAUAUAAUGAACUGAUAGGCUCGAUUCCAAGUUCAAUCUUUGAACUUUUGAAUUUGACUGAGAUCUAUCUUUCUUUUAACAAUUUCAGUGGCAGCGUUGAGCUUUACGAUUUUGCAAAGCUCAAAAAUCUUAAAGUUCUUUCUCUUUCUAAUAUUAGUUUAUCAGUGAGCACCAAAUUAACAGUCAACUCGUCUUUCCCUAAUCUUUCGGAUUUGGAUUUAUCGGCUUGCAAUAUAAGUGAGUUUCCAGACAUCUUGAGAACUCAACAUCAUUUAGAGUCGUUGGACCUUUACCAAAACUUCCUGACAAGCACAGACCAUCUUCCGUGGAAAAAUCUCCAAAAUCUUUACCUUGAUUCCAACUUACUUCAAGGAUCACUUCCCGAUCUACCACCUCACAUGAUUUACUUUUCAAUUUCCAACAAUAAUUUGACCGGAGAGAUUCCUUCAUCAUUUUGUAAUUUGAAUUCCAUUCAAUCUUUUGACGUAUCCAACAAUAGCUUGAGUGGACAAAUUCCACAGUGCCUUGGAAACUCUACACUCCAUACUUUGGAUCUCGGAAUGAACAACUUCCAAGGUAGCAUCCCACAGACAUAUGCAAAGGGCUGCAACUUGACUUAUCUUCGGCUGAAUGGCAAUCACUUGGAGGGACCAUUACCACCAUCUUUGAUUAACUGUGUCGAUUUGCGAUUUCUUGAUGUUGGGAAUAACAGCUUGAGCGGCCCAUUUCCAGAAUAUCUUGGAAACUCAACACUUGAAGUCUUGGUUAUGAGAAUGAAUAAGUUCAACGGCAGCCUCCCUCAAACAUUUGGAAAAAGUUGUGUUUUGGAAAGUCUUAAACUUAAUGGCAAUCGGUUGGAAGGACCAUUGCCUCCAUCUUUGGUUAAUUGUCAGUAUUUGGAAGUUUUAGAUGUUGGGAAUAAUCAGAUUAAUGAGACCUUUCCCCACUGGUUAGACGUUCUUCCCGAAUUGCAAGUACUUACAUUGCGUUCUAAUAGAUUUCGUGGUCCCAUUGAUGAUACCAAAACAAGAGUUCCUUUCCCCAAGUUGUGAAUAAUUGAUCUCUCUUACAAUCGAUUCACCGGUGUUUUGCCAAUAUGGUAUCUGAAUGGUUUUAAAGCCAUGAUGCACGGGGAUGACAAUAGUAUUGAAGUCAAUUAUAUGAGUUCGUUGAAUUAUUCUUAUUAUGAAUCAAUAUCUUUGACUAUGAAAGGCAAUGACAUACAAAUGGAGAGGAUUUUAACCACUUUUGUAACUAUUGAUUUGUCGAGCAACAGAUUUCAAGGGGAAAUAUCAGAAGUGUUGGGAAAGCUUAAUUCACUCAAAAGUCUCAACAUUUCUCACAACAACCUGACAGGUGGUAUUCCAUUGUCGCUAAGAAAUCUGACAGAGCUUGAAUCUCUAGACCUCUCUUCAAACAAGCUUGCUGGACGUAUCCCAACACAACUGGCGAGUCUCAAUUAUCUUUCGGUGUUGAAUCUUUCGAACAACCAGCUCGAGGGACCCAUACCAGGAGGACCCCAGUUUAAUACAUUUGGAAAUUAUUCCUAUUCUGGUAACUCGGGUCUGUGUGGAUUCCCAUUAUCAAAAAGCUGCAGCAUUGAUGAGGCACCAGAGCCAACAACACCAACAGGAUUUAUUGAAGGAGACGAGGCUUCAAGCUGGUUUGAUUGGAAGCUCGCUAAGUUGGGCUAUGCAUCUGGAGUGGUGAUCGGCUUGUCCAUCGGAUACAUGGCAUUUGUGACUGGAAGGCCACAAUGGUUUAUAAGAAUGAUCGAAAGGAAGCAAUCCAGGAAGCUGAGAAGGGUGAUCAGACGAGGCAGAGCAAGUAGAAGAAGUUUGUAGAUGCAUCUCUAAAGGCCUAGGUGAGUAAUUAUUAGUUUUGUCUUUUGGAAUUAUAAGCUGGUUUCUACUGUUCUUUAAGUAGAUAGCAUGUCGAUAUUAUCGUAAUCUAACAGUUGACUUGCAAAAAUCACAAUCAUAAUUAAUUUUAAAUUAUGUUUAUUAUCAACAUCUAUAGUGAGAAACAAACUGAGGAUAAUGUAUAAGAAAGAAAAUUUUAACUGAAUUAUUGAUGCGACUGUUUUUACUUUUAUUGCCAUUUCAUUAGAACAUGUCGUCACGGACGUACAUUUUGAUGGUAAAAUGAUUUGAAGUAAUAUUGUUGCAGGAAAUUGUGUGGCGAUAACGUAUUUCAAAGUUUGUGAGCAGAAAACAUUCUUUGCCUUUGGCUCAGUGAUAUCAAUUUAAAAACUCAGUGCUUAAUUAAUAACUCUAAGUUUAUUUUAAAGAAAUUUUCGUAGAUCUUUUAUUGUAAUAUAUGUAACUGUAUUUCAAAAGGAACAAAUCACCCUUGUCCAAAUUUAAUUAAGAAAAAUCUGCACUUUUUCAUAUAUCAACAUUUUUCAUUUUGUUGAAACAAAAAUAAUUAUGCGCAAAAUGAAACCAAAUGGCCAUUAAAUUUAGAGGGGUUUUCAUAGCACUGCCAUACUUAACGGCAGUCCCCACGUACGGUGCGGCCCAUGAUUCCACAUAUAACACGUUCUCAAGAUUAGGAUCCUGUUUACUCCUCAAGCUUCCAACAUUCUCCAUGGAUCUUCCCAUGCAAGGAUUUCCACUCAUCAAUUAGCAAAAAAUUCAUAGUAAAUUUGAGGAUGAGUGAUAAUGUUUCAUUCUCAUUUCCCAUUCCAUGAAAUAAACACACCCUUAGUAACAAGACUUGGUACUGUAAGUCUAAAAGUAUUAUAUUUGUUAUUACUAUUUUUUUUAAAAGUGUUGUAUCUAAUUAGAUUCCCCUGUUUUGGUGUGAGUUAAAGAGAUGGCUACGAUAAGUUUUUUAUUCUUGUAAGGAGGACUUGAAUAAAGUGCUCAUUAUUAAUGGCUUUGAGAAAGAAAGACUUGUCCUAUAUAUCCCUCUUAAUUUGAACAAUCUUUCAUCAGCAACUUCAAACCUUUUUUAUCCUUGCCAUGGGUUUCAUAGCCGUGGAAAAGAAAUUAAAGCAGUUUCGAAUUUUAUUUAAAUUGGCCACAAAUUCAUGCAACUUUCAACCUUUUUUAUGCUUUCCAUUGGUUUCAUAGCGUGGAAAAGAAGUUGAAAUAGUUUGAAAUUUUUUUAAGUUGGCCUCAAACUCAUGACCUACUAGAUCCCAAACAAUAUCAUGAGGCUCUCAAUAACAAGACCUGGAGCGCGCUCUAAGUAUAAAUGAACUAUAAUUAAUUAAGACUAUUCCGUCUUAAUUUCAAAAGGUAGUAUGGAUCAAGCUUUUGAAAUUGAUAUUACACAUAUUAAUUUGUAGUUUGACUAAUUAAGAAGUAAAUGGAAGGUCUAACAACUUGCUUACUGAAACAGAGUCAAAACAGGGGAGGAAAAAUUAAUUUUUUUUUUAAAUGACUAUCAAUGAUCUAGCUCGCUGUUACAUCAGCAUAUAUGACAAAUAACUUACAUCUCACUAAACUAUCUUUUUACAUGAACAAAUUACUAUCAAAAUGGUUACUAAUUGGAUACAGCUUCUGCUUUAGUCUGGUUUGUGGAAAUUGAAAAAUUGAAAAAUGCUCCUUUUGAAGAAUCAAAGUCUACUUUAUAUGUAAAUAAAGGGGAUGAUCAAUAAAGAUAGCCCAUCACUGUUCAAUUACUUUCGAGCAUGUCGAUUGUUUCAUGAAGAGAAACUUCGAUUGCCUCUAAGGGUCUAGUCAAGUGAUUUAUAAGUAAUUUUAUUUGAUUAAUCACUUGAAUUCGAAUUUAAUAAAUAUGAGAGAAUAAUAUUUUAAUUGAAAUCCCCUCAUCCAAAUUUUGUUUUUUUUUUUCUAAAAAGAAAUUAGCACUUUGCCAUGUAUGAGUAAAAAUUUUCAUUUUGUGGAAACAAAAAUAAUUAAUUUUGUGCAAAACGGAACCAAACUGCUGUUAAACUUAAAAUCAGUCUCAACGGUAAUGGCCAUCAUUCCCCGUCAAACACGUCGUCAAAUUCCAAAGCAAGACUUGGUACUCUAACCAAUAAGCAUUAUGUUAUUAAUUAAUUACACACCAUUCAACUUGAAUAAAUUGUCAUAUCUCUCUUCUUGCGAUUUCAUUAACCGGCGAAGGGAGAAAAAAAAAUGGGUUAUUUGACUCAGCCUUAUCAACUUGUGAUUUGCCUCCAGUUAUUGCUCUUGUAUUCUCAGUGUUCAGCAAUAAUUUGGCUAAUUGUACCAGUUUAAUGUUUAUGGAUGUUGGGAAUAACAACUUGAGCAGCCCAAUUCGACAACUUCUUAUAAACUCAAUACUUUUUAGGGUCUUGGAUAUGAGAAUGAACGGAUUUCAGGCAGCAUCCCUCAAAUGUUUGCAAAGAGUUGUGAUUUGAGAAGUCUUAUACUUAAUGGCAAUCAAUUAGAAGGACCAUUGUCUCCAUCUUUGAUUAACAGUCAAAUUUGAAAAUUUUUGAUAUUGGGAAUAAUCAUGUUAAUAAUACAUUUCCUCAUUGGUUAGAAAUUCUUCAUGAAUUGAAAGUGUUUAUAUUACGAUCUAACCAAUUUCGGAUCCAAUUGGUGAUAGCAAAAUAAGAGAAAAGGGAACUCUUGUUUUGGUACCCCGAAAUCGUUAGAUCGUAAUAUAAGCACUUGCAAUUGAUAAAGAAUUUCUCAUCAAAAAUAAAAGUAUCAUUAACAUAAUUAUUCCCAAAAUCAAAAACUUCCAAUUGCUGACAGUUAACCAAAGAUGAAGGCAAUGAUCCUUCCAAUUGAUUACCAUUAAUUUAAGACUUAUCAAAUCACAUCUGUUUGUAAACAUUUGAGGGAUGCGGCCAUUGAAUUUGUUCAUUAUCAUAUUCAAGAUCUUAAUAAGUAUUGAGUUUCCAAGACAUUGUGGAAUUGGGCUGCUCAAGUUGUUAUUUCCAAAAUUAAUAAACAUCAAACCGAUACAAUUAACCAAAUAUGGUGGCAAUGGUCCCUCCAGGUGAUUGUUAUUCAGCUAAGCAUACAAAUUGUAGCCUUUUUCGCAUAUGUUUGUGGGAUUCUACCAUGAAGAUUGUUCAUUCUAACAUCUAAAUAUCCCAGUGUAAAAUUUCGAAGACACUGUGGAAUUUUUCCCAUUGAAGAUAUUAUUGGACAUAGAUAUGGCAAAUGGGUCGUGUUGUAUGUGCGAGUAUGUUUUAGUAGGGUAUGUGGCAUGGUGUGCACACAAACAAAUUGAAUUGGACUGAGAAUUUUAAGCACAUGUUCCUUAAAAUCACGUCCUUCUCUAUAUGCAACAAUGGGAAAUAUCAAAUAAUCCUGACUCAAUUAAUUGCAGCAAUAAUGAUGUGGGAGACGAUAGGGGCUUAAUUUGGGUGUACAUCUUCUAUUUUGUAAGUUGAAUUUGAAUGUGUAAUAUAAUUGUUCUGAAACUCACAAUAAGAUAAUUGAUUGGGUGUAAAAAGAAAAUGGAUUGAAUAAUUGAAGUAACUUAGGUCCAAAAUCUCUGAACUUAUAUGAUCCUUGUUCAAAUGGCCCAGUGCGUGCCACGUCAACAUGUGAAACUCAUCCACAUCACCAGCCUCAAUAUUCUCGCGACGUCAUCACUCAACAGGUUCCCACUGACGAUAAUUUGGAUAAGAAAAACUUUUGAAUUAAUAGCCUUCACUCUUCACAGAGAAACCAAAAUGGCGCGAGCUUUGCUUCAUUUGAAUAGCACGGCCACGGCCAUACUGGUCAGGGCUACAAGUGGUACUACAGAGGCAGUUCUUGACAGAGCUCAGUUUCAAAUGAAGAACCAAAACGCCCGCGUUUUGAUACUUCGAGGUACGGGUCGGGUCGGUGGAUCCACUGCCGUUGCUCUCUCGAAGCUCUGCCCCGACCUUCAGAUUGUUGUUGGCUCUCGAAAGAGGUGAAAUCAUUAAUACCCAUUUUAUUUCUUCUGUUUCGUUUCCGCAAAAAUGCAAGAAAUAAAGGAGGGAAAUUUUUCGAGCUUUGUUAUUUUCUGUUAUUUUUACGUUUACUAUGUUUCUUUGGUAAUUUUAAAAUUUAAAUUCAAGGUGAUGUCUAAUGGUAAACUGCAAUGCUUUUACAUCUUUCUUAAAGCACAUUCCUAAACAGUCACUCAACUACAAGUGAUUAUCAUGUCCCGCAGUUGUAGAUUAAGGCUCAAUUUGGUAGUGCCAUUGUGCGGUCGUAGCAUUUCAAGACACGUCUAAUUUUAAAUGAGAGCUGCUGUGAAAUGAGAGCUUUAGUUAUGAAAUAUAUGUUUAUAGUGUUUGGUAAAUGUUACUUUUUAAUAAUAAUUUUGAGAAAAAUAGUAAACCUAAUAUAAGUCAGGCAAUUGUGGGUAAAAUCGCUUUAAUUUUCAAAUUGUAGUUGCGAGUGUUUACCAAAUACUUUAGAAUUGUGAUUAGAUGGCAAUAAAAAAAGAGAACCUAAACAGUCCAUAAUAAUAUUGCCAAUGAUGCAAAACUUGCAAUUCUUUCUCUUUUUGGUUUUCCUAAACACUCGAAAGGCAAUAAUGUCUGUUUUUGUUGAUUGAUAUGCUCUGACUACGGUAUGUUAUUGUUUUAGAAUGUUGUCAAACAUGCUAGUUCUUGGAUGGAACUAUGGAGACAUGGAGUUGUGAAUUCAAAUAGCUAUGGCUGGAAUGUUUCCUAAUUUAGAGUGUUGCUGAGAAAAUUUUGCAUACCAGCAGGGAAAGGUGCUGCAACGGUGGCUACACUUGCAAAGAAUUCUGAAUUUGCUGAAGUUAAUUCUGACAAUGAAGGUUCACUGUUAAUGGCUUUUAGAGGUGCGAUCGUUCGUCUCAGACUAGAUAUGUAUUCUGUUGUUCCACAUCAAUAAUUCUUUUUCAUCCAGAUUUUUCUUUUUUAGUCUGGAGUUGAAGUAGAGGAAUUUUUUAGAAGCAGAAAUUCCGUUAUUAGACAAUAUUUUAAUGAUGCUUUAUUCUGUAUGUGAAAUGCUGUAACUUUGCUUCUGCUGAUGUGGAUCUUGUGGUUCAUGCAGCAGGGCCUUUUCAACAGGCACCGAAAUGCACUGUAAUGGAAGCUGCCAUAGAGACCAAGGUAAGGAAAGGUAAAUGUUGUGUUUGAUUAUCUCUUUUCCAAGUCCAGUUUUUAUGUUUUAUAUAUGUGAUGAUUGAAGCAUGUAUACAACUUUGCUAUGUAACCGAGAUGUCAUCUUAUGUGUUCUUUUUUGUCUCCCAGCAGACAGCAUACAUUGAUGUUUGUGACGAUACAAGCCACUCUCGGCCUGCUAAGUCCUUCAAGGAUAAAGCAAUAGCUGCAAACAUUCCAGCCAUAACUUCAGGAGGAAUCUAUACAGUAGUGAGCAAUGGUGCUUUUAUGAACAUUCUUGUCCUGCAAUCUGUACUAGAAGUGCAGAAAAUUAAAUAUAUGAUUGAGUGAAGAAUAUGGAUAGAGCACAAAUUCUAUAAUUGAAACAUGUACAGUCUGCAAAUUCUUGCUUUAGAGCCAAAACAUCAUUGUUGGUGAUGCUUGGAUACAUGAUUUUUGCCACUGGAAGACCAUAGUGUUUUGUAUGGGAUGAUUGAAUGGAAGCAUCUGCUGCUCCAAGCUAUUAGUUUGUCUUAAUGUUGAUUGCCCGCUGAUUUUUAUAUAUUCUGAACUGCUAUUUGAAUUGUAUAUUAAUGUGAUGUGUUCUUUCUACAGUAAUUUUAGACUCAUGGAAGGUAGCAUUGGAAGCGAAGCAAUCCUCCUGGUGCAAAACUUGCCUUGCUUUAUUUCCGUAUCUUUAGAAUAUUUUACCACUUAUAUUUUAUUGGUAAUUAAAUUUAUAAAAAAUUUGAGGGGAAAAAUGACUUGAAAAUUAUUGAUGUAGGAAAUGGCCUAGGCUAACUUUGAUUUAGUGCAUCUUUGGGCUAUGAAUGUUGAAUUUGGGCGUAUGUUAUAUUGCUUGGAAGCCUGUAACAAGACGAACAACAUUCAUUGUCAUUGUCCUUGUUGCCCAUGAGAUUAUUGCCAAAUUUCAAUGUUUUGGGACUGAAUAUCGCAUUUCCCCUAAGCAAUAAUUUAUGAAAUGACCUUGCACUUGUUUAAAUUGUAUGUAGCCUGUUUAUUAUCUCUCUUUGAAAAUAUUUUUAUUGAGUGUUUUGAUAUUGAGAGAUCUAGAUGCGAUGGGCCACAUGUCACCUGAUUAUAGAUUGAUGUUUAAUAACUUGGCCAAUUAUCAAGUAAAACAUGGCCUAUCAUGCACAAUAACGUGCACGAUGAUGCGCAUCUGAUCAUUCUUUUUGGAUAUCAAUUGAUCUAAGCCUACAAGUUCAGCGUAUAGAUUACACAUAUUUACAGUAGACUACAAAGUGAAUGGAAGGUAAGGAUGGCAAAAAUCCCCACGGGGACGGGGACCCUUGGGGAUUUUUCCUAUUCGGGGAGGGUAUGGGGAUAAUUUUAUACCCAAUUUCUUCUUGGGGAAGGGAUGGGGGUGAUUUUUUACCCAGAUUUUUAUUCGGGGAAGGGACGGGGAUGAGGUGGAAUCCCCAUCCCCUACCCAUUUCCCCAUUUCCUCAUAUUAAUUUUUAUUUUGAUUUUAUUUUUUAGAAUUAUUAAUAAAUGAAAAAUCAAAUUUAAAUUAUAAAAUGUUAAAUAUUAGUAUAAAUAACAAAUAUCAAAAUAUUUAUACGCAUCUACUAUAAAAAUUUCAAGCUUGGUUAAUUAGUUAUAGUCCUAAAUUAUUAUUUGACCAUACCUUAUUUCAAAUGUCUUGGCCCAAAACUAUUUUAAAUUAUGAAUUAUAUUGCUUAUAUUAUUUUUAUUGUUUUAGAUUUGAAACUUGAUGUUAUCUCUCAAUUUCCAACAUUCCUCGAGGAAGAAUAGGAUGAGUAUGAGACACAAGAGUAAAUGCUUUUUUUUUUAAAUAUUAAUUUUAGUAUCUAUACCCAUUUCAUUUAUUUCAUUAUUGAUAUAAGAGUAAUUUCUUUUUAUUAUAAAAUUAUGAAGGUCGAGGAAGAUAAUUAUUCUAAUUAUUUGUAUUAUGUUGUGUAAUUUUUGUAAUGAAUUAAUGUUAAUCUAAGAUAUAUUGUCAAACCUUACCCUUGUUUAAAUUUUUAUUUUAAUAUGAUUAAAUCAAGUUUAGAAAUAAAAAAUAUAUCAGUUAUUCGGGGAUCGGAGACCCCUCGGGGAUCUCCUCUUAUUAUUCGAGGAGGGGACGGGGAUCCUCUCAAGCAAUUCUGAUGGGGACGGGGAUAUAUGAAAAACAUCGGGGAUGGGUGCGGGGAUGUCGGUCCCCUCCCCUCCCCUCCCCAUUGCCAUCCCUAAUGGAAGGUCUAUUCUAAGUCAACUUGCUUAAUAAACUAAAACAUAAUCAAAACAGAGGAGGGAAAAUGAACAGUGUGUCUAUGAAUGUCUAACUAGACUUUGGACCCUACGGACCUAGUCCACUAACUUUCUAAUAACUUUAUUUGAUUCGCCAUUUGAUCACAAGGGAGGUAUGUGUUAUAACAUGUAUAUCGAUACCGUCUAUUCCUCUACCUUCUAUAAAACAAAAAUAAUAAUAAGUAGAGUUUAGGUGGAGCCACAUCACCAUAUACGACAGACAAUUAACAUUUCUCUUAUCUACAUAUCGUUUCAGCUCUAAUUUGGACUGGUUGGUGGAAAUUGGAAAAACUGGAAAAUGCUGCUUUCGAAUAAUCAAAGUCUACUAUAGACGCCAAGCAAGGAAACGCGUAAAAUACAAACAUCGUCUAUCAAUGUUUAUGCUUAAUGUAACAUUGCGUGUUGGCUGUAUUAAUAGAAAUCCUCCUCAUUUGCCAAUAGGCUCGUAGCCCGUUAACAUCACUCAUGCUCUCAAAUCUUGAGAGCAAUUAAUUCGUGGGACUCACUUUUUUCUGUCAAUGUAAAUAGAGCAUAUAUCCCUAAAAAAAUUACGAAAUUAUCCAUCCGACUUUCAAAUUUACGAAAUUACUCAUUGCCCUUGACUAUACAUCCGACUUUUACGAAAUUAUACCAUUUCAGGACCCAAAAUUGCAUUUGAAUUUAUUUUAAACUAUAGACCUUGAGAAACUUCUAAGAAUUGGAGUUUUCCAUGUAAAUCUUGUGUUGUGUGAUUGAUGAACUCUCUAUUUAAUUUUUCUGUUAAUUUGUUGUUUGACAAAUUGCAUGGAGUGAUCUUAGAGGGAAGCUCAAUUUCCUAACAGAAUCUAACUUAGGGAGGGGAAAAAAUGCGAGUCUAGCUGGCUGUUACAUCUCUUUUCACAUACAUAAAUAAAUAUCAACAUUGUUAUUAAUUAGAUACAGCUUCAGCUUUGGUACUGGUUUCUGAAAAUUGGAAAAACUGGAAAAAUGCUCCUUUUGAAGAAUCAAAGUCCACUUUAAAUAAUAAUCCCCAUCAAUAUUUAAUGCUUGUUAUUGACUCUCAACCAGCGGCUGCUUUCAGAAAGAAAGACUUCAAUUGUCCCCAAGGGUCGAAAAGUAUUACAUGACUGAUUAGGUUUCCCCCUUUACUUCCACUUCAUGGUAAUUUCUCUUCCUGUGAUUUCAUCAGGGAGAAAAAAAGGAAAAAAAAGAAAAGAAAAGAAAAUGGGUUAUAUCACUCAGCCUCAUCAACUUUUGAUUUGCCUCCAGUUAUUGUUCUUGUAUUAACGAGUUUAUAUAUCAUUCAAUUAACUAAACACACUUUGGAGAACAUACAACUGAAAUCAUUUUCACACAAUGACCUAGCAAAAAGCUACUAUUCAGCAUAGAGAUUACACACAUAUAUGGCAAACAAUUAAGAGUAAAUGGAAGGUCUAACAACUAAUUGGAAUUUUACAAAACUAGCGACAAAUGCACCAAUAAAUUAGACUCCAGAACAAGAUUAUGAGGCAAAAAGUAGAAAAGUUAGGAAAAUGCUGUUGUGUGAUGGAAUCAUGUUUCAUGACCUCAUUUGUGGGUAAUAAUCCAAUUAGAAAAGAUAGAGAUAAUAGGAAAGUUAGGAAAGUUAGAGAUAAUAGGUAAUAAUCCAAUUAGAAAAGAUAAUUAAAAAUAUAUAAAUUGGAAAUAAUUAAUCCAGACAAAACAAUAAAAACACAAGACAUAGCUUAUAAUUUAGAAGAUAGAAAUGAAGACUUGGUGCUUGGACUCUAAAUGUGUUCUAUUUAAUUAGAUUCCUCUCUAGUGCUGUGAGUAAAAGAGAUGGAUAGAAAAAGUUAUUUUAACUUAUAAGGUGGACUUGACUAAAGUGUUCAUUAAUGACAUGACGUUGAGAAGGAAAGACUUAUUCUCUACAUACCUCUUAAUUUGGGCAAUCGUAUAUCAAUAAUUUUCAAUUUUUUUGAUUCAUCCCAUGGGUUUCAUUAUCAUAGCCGUGGAAAAAAAUUGGCCACAAAUUCAUGCAUCGACUAGAUUCCAAAACAAUAUCAGGAGGCUUAGUAUAACAAAGGACUUGGUGCAUGCUCUAAAAGUCCAAAUGAAUUAUAACUAAUUAGAUUAUUUCAUCAUCAAAUCAAGACUUGGGACAAUAGAAGUAAAUAUCUAAAUGGUUAUUAAUUGGAUACAACUUCAGCUUUUGAACUGGUUUGUGGAAAUUGAAAAAAUUUGAAAAGUUUUCCUCUAGAAGAAUCAAAGUCUACUUUAUACGUGGAGAAAGGGGAUGUCAGUAAAGAUAAUCCAUCAAUGUUCAGUUACAUUCGAGCGUGUUGACUACUUUCAGGAUGAAAGACUUCUAUUGUCCCAAGGAGUUUAAUCCACUGACUAACAUGAGAUUCCAAAUCAAGACUUGGUUCCCUAAAGUCAAUAAGUAUCGAGAGGUCCACACGCAUUUCAGUGGCAACCUUCCUCAAACGUUUGCAAAAAGUUGUGUUUUGACAAGUCUUAACCUUAAUUGCAAUCGUUUGGAAGGACCGAUGCCUCCAUCUUUGGUUAACUGUCGGCAUUAUAAGCUGGUUUAUGUAUUGUUCAUGGAGUAGAUAACCAACUGAUAUGUUUCAUAUUCUAACUGUUGAUUUACAAAAAUCACAGCACUGAUUAAAUUCAAAUUAUGCUAUAAUCAGCAUCUAUAGUCUAUAGAGAGAAAGAAAAUGAGGGUCAUAUAUAAGAAAUCACUGAUAGGAUGUGUUUUGCUUUCAUUUCCAUUGCAUAAGAACAUGAUACCACACACUUACAUUUUGAUGGUUAACUUGAUCAAAUUUUUCAGGAAAAAAAAUUAUUUUAAAAAUAAUUUUGAUGUAGGAAAUGAUUUGGGAUGACAUUCAUUUGGUGCCAUUUAGGCCACAUUUUUUCAAUUGGGCGUAUGGUAUAUACUAUUUCAAAGCUGGUAACAAGAUGAACAAUGUUGCCCAUUUGCCUUGACUCUGACGUCCGGGGGCUUUUACAAAAUUGUACCCUUUCAGGACUCUAAAUCGCAUUUGAAGUUAGUUCAGAUUCCAGCACUUCGGGAAACUUCUAAGAUUUGUACUUUACUACUUUUAUUUUCAUAACCAAUACUUAUGUUACUUCGGUCCGUUUGUAUUUUUAAUUAAUUUCAGUUUAAACCUUAACCUUCUCCCAAUUUGUUUUCGGCUUAGCAGAGCAUAUUAACAGCCUAAAUAGGCGAAAUAAUAUAUCAUUCAAUUAACUAAAACACUUAUUUGGCGAACAUUCAACUGAAAGAAUUUUCAACAAUAUUAGCAACUAGUUUUUUAACUUCUCGGAGAGGAAGUUGCUGCUUUCAAUAAAUUAAAGAUAGUCAAUUCACAGGCUGCUUAUUUGAAUCGGUAAACUAAGAUACGUAUUAUGCCUAACCAUUACAAACAUAGUCUAUCAAUGUUUUGGCUGUAUUAAUAGAAAUCCUCCGCACUCAUGCUCUCAAAUCUUGAGAGCAAUUAAUUCGUGGGACUCACAUUUUUCUGUCAAUAUAAUUAGAUAUGGGUAGAUUUUUUCUACUAAUAUAAAUAGAACAUGUAUCCCUAACAAAUUUACGAAAUUAUCCAUCUGACUUUUAGGAAAUUAUACCAUUUCAGGACCCAAAAUUUCAUUUGAAUUUAUUUUAAAUUACAGUCCUGAGGAAACUUCUAAGAUUUGUACUUUUAUUUUCAUAACAAAAUCUUAAACUACUUCCGUUUGUUGCGUUUUUAAUUAAUUUCAGUUUACACCUUAAACUUCUCUGAUUUUUUUUUCAGCUUAGGAGAGCAUAUUAACGCCUACGUAAAAGAAGCUAUGUACCAUUAUAAAUAGAGUAAUAUAAGUACAAAAUUAAUUCAAACUAGAGAAAAAUAUCACAUAUUUAUAGAGCCUUACUGUAGAAAGCUCAAUGUUGAGUUAGGAAAAGGGUUUAAGAUCUAUAUUGAGUAUUGAUCAAGCAAUUUCAGCAUAGAGAUUACACACAUAAAUAGUAAACAAUUAAGAGUAAAUGGAAGGUCUAGCAACUAAUUGGAAUUUUACAAAAUUAGCGACAAAUGCACCAAUAAACUAGACUCCAGAACAAGAUUACGAGGAAAAAAGUAGAAAGUUAGAAAAAUUAGAGAUAAUAGGUAAUAAUCCAAAUAGAAAAGAUAAUAAAGAAGUAUAUAAAUUAAAAAUAAUUAACCCAAAUAUAACAAAAAAAAACACAAAAUUUAGUUUAUAGUUUAGAAGACUUGGUGCUCUGACUCUAAAGGUGUUCUAUUUAAUUAGAUUCCCCUCUAGUGGUGUGAUUAAAAGAGAUGGAUAGAAAAGGUUAUUUUAACUUAUGAGGUGCACUUGACUGAAGUGUUCAUUAAUGACAUGACGUUGAGAAAGAAAGACUUAUUCUCUACAUACCUCUUAAUUUGGGCAAUGCUACAUCAGUAACUUUCAACUUUUUUUAUUCUUCCCAUGGAUUUCAUUAUCAUGGCUGUGGAAAAAAAGUUGAAGUUGUUUGGAGUUUUGCAAAAUUAGGCAUAAAUUCAUGGAUCAACUAGAUUCCAAAACAAUAUCAUCAGGCUCAGUAUAACAAAGGACUUGGUGCAUGCUCUAAGUCCAAAUGAAUUAUAAUUAAUUAGAUUAUUUCAUCCUCAAUUUUAAACGUUAGUAUUGAUCAAUCUUAUAAGUAGAUUACACAUAUUAACUUGCAGUAAACUAAUUAAGAAGUAAAUGGAUGGUCGAACAACCUGCUUAACAAAUCGAAACAGAGGAGGGAAAAAUAUGAGUCUAGCUGGCUGUUACAUCUCUUUUUACAUAAAUAAAUAAAUAUCAAAAUUAUUAUUAAUUGGAUGCAGCUUCAGCUUUGGUACUGGUUUGUGAAAAUUGGAAAAACUGGAAAAUGCUCCUUUUGAAGAACCAAAGUCUACUUUAAAUAAUAAUCCCCAUCAAUAUUUAAUGCUUGUUAUUGACUUUAAACCAGCGGCCGCUUUCAGAAAGAAAGACUUCAAUCGAAAAGUAAAUAGAUUCCCUCCUUUACUUCCACUUCAUGAGUUACAACUAACCAUUUCACUUCGAUAUAUGGUAAUUUCUCUUCUUGUGAUUUCAUCAGGAGAAAAAAAGGAAAAAAAAAAAAAGAAAAUGGGAUAUAUCGCUCAGCCUUAUCAACUCUUGAUUUGCCUCCAGUUAUUAUUCUUGUAUUAACGAGGUUGUAUAUCAUGCAAUUAACUAAGCACGUUUUGGAGAACAUACAACUGAAAUCAUUUUCAUAUCACAAUGUUGAUCUCUGGGCUAAUCAAGCAUUUACCUUUCCUAAUACAAUUUAUCACAAAACGAUUAUCCAUUUUCAUAUUUGAGGUUCAGUAGUAAGAAGGAGCAGGCACCUUCCAAAUGUAUGCACCUUUUUUAGUUUUAUCCCACAAAACUUUAUCACAAAACAAUGGCCUUUUCAUAUUUUCAGUUACUGCUCAAUCCCUUUACAAAAAAAGUAUGCACAUUUACAAGGGAUAGAAGAUUUUAGUUUGACUUUGAUAUGACCACAAUACUAUUGAAAUUACAAACUUUAUAAGUUCACAAAAUAAAUAUUGUAAAUUUAAGGGGGCUAGAUCAUAAGCUUUAGAAAUAAGUAGAUUCAAUUUUAGUUUGUACCUUUAUCAGGUAAUCCAAAUUUCCAAUUUUCAAACCAAAAUUUAGUUUUAAUUUUUGAUUAAAUUUCUUUAGAAAAUACUCAACUAAAUACUAUUUAUAGUUAAAUAUUAGUUUGAAUGAAUGAACACUUUCAUAGAUGAUUGUGUAAGCAAUUUAUUUGGUUAAUUAACGGUUGUAAUCUUUGAUAAUGAGAAUAACUAAUUUUAAAAAAUUCUAAUGGUUAGCGUAUUAAAAGUGUGUUUGGAACAUAGCAUUGCAUGGUAUUAUAAUGAUAUUCACAUUAAUUUAUUGCUAACCUAUGUUUGGUAAUUUUAGCAGCUACAUUGUGGGCAUAAAACACUAUUAUUGAAACACUAGGGCCAUUUUUUCAUUUAACUACAAACUUACUUCUAUUGAAACCCAUAAAACAAUUUUUAUAUUAAUUAAUUAUAUCAUGUCUUCAACUAUUAUUAAAUUCUUAUUCAAGUUCAUUAUUUAAGUGGUAAAUGCGUUAUCUAAAUAAUCUUAUGUAAUGUAUUAAACAAAUAAUUUGAGGAACAAAGUUCAUUAUGUCUCCUCUUAUUAGAUGUAUCUUUAAUUUGUUAUUAAAAAAAUCUCUCAUAUUCAAUUAAAAAUAUAAAUUCAGUCACCAAAAGAAAAAAAAAAGUUGUUAGCUUCGCGGCUGAACGGGGCUAAAAAAGAAUGAUUUUCCCGAAUCUGUCCUCUGACCGACCGAUCCACUAUGAUCCUUGUUCAAAUUGGCCCCGUACGUGCCACGUCAACAUGUAAAAACGCGGCCACGUCAUCCGUAAACUGGUUAUCAGUAACGGAUGAUAAUUUGGAUAAGCAAAACAGUUCAAUUGAGUCUCUUCACAAAAAUAGGACCAUAAUUAUAAAGCAAUGGCCCCGUACUACACACGUCAUUAACGAAAGCUCGAAGCAGAGCUCAAUUUCAAAACGCCAGCAUUUUGGUGCAGCCAUUGCUCAAGAGUUUUUUGAUUUUAUAUGCCACAAUACUUGCCUAAUUUCCAAAUAUAUCCCCUCCCUUCCAUUUAUUCACUUAUAUGACAAAUUCACCUGCAUAAAGAUUGAAAUACUCACAUUUGUGAAUUACAAGUUGCACAAUUUUUAUUUUAACUUCAAAAUACUUCAGAAGCACUUGUACACAACAUCGCUCACUUGCACCGCCGAGGCCUGCAGUGAUCAGUUUCGUCGUCGUCAUCAUCAUUGGCUACACUCUAAUUACUAACAUAAGCACACUUCAAUAUCAAGUUCAUUUACCUGUUCUUUACCAUCUCCAAAAUUUUCCUCUGAUUUUUAUUUCACUUUCUCAACUUCAAAAUUCGCCUGCAUAAAGAUUUCUGAUUUGGAAUUGAAAUUGUAGCUCUAUACCUCUUGAACUCUCCCAUGAGUUUCGCGGCUGCGGAAAAUGUAGAAGUACUAGUUUGAAAUUUUAUAAAUUUAUUCAAAAAAACCACAGUCCAAUCGAUUCCAAAACUAGAUUAUAAGGCCAACCAAUAAGACUUGGUGCUCAAAGCCUAAAAGUAUUACAAAGACUUGGUGCCUCCCUUAAAUUCACUUCAUACUUGCACAUCAUUUUUCUUCUACAUUUAGUCAUAUCUGUUCUUGUGAUUUCAUUGAGAAAAAAGAUAAUAUGGACUAUUUAACUCAUCCUUUUCAACUUUUGAUCUGCCUCCGGUUAUUGCUCUAUUAUUUUCAGUUUUCUGCAAAUUAAUUAGCAACAUACCAGUAAUAUACUCUAAUUUGGACACAGCUUGCUUCUUCUAGAUAAUUAAACAUGGAAUUGGACACAGCUUCUGCUGAUUCCUUUUGGACGGGGUUUGUGGAAUAGAAAAAAAUAUUUGUUUGUUCCUUGUAGGAGGGACUUGACUAAAGCGCUCAUUAAUUAUUAAUGUGAUUUGAGAAAGAAAGACUUGUUCUGUGUAUACCUAUUAAUUUGGGCAAUUUUACAUCAGUAACUUUCAACUUUUUGAUCAUUCCAUAUGUUUCAUAACUGUGGAAAAGAAAUUCAAGUAGUUUGGAAUUUUACAAAACAAUACCGUGAGGCUCAGUAUAACAAAAUUAACCCGAUUUGGAGCAUGCUCAAUGUUGAUUUGGGGUAAGGGUUUGAGAUCUAUAUUGAGUAUUGAUCAAGUAAUGAGAUUACGUGCACAUUUGUACUAAACAAUUAAGAGUAAAUGGAAAGUCUAACAAGUAAUUGGAAUUUUACAAAACUGACGACAAAUGCACCAAUAAACUAGACUUCAGAACAAGAUUAUGAGGAAAAAAGUAGAAAAGUUAGAGAUAAUAGGUAAUAAUCCAAUUAGAAAAGAUAAUUAAAAAAUACAUAACUUAGAAAUAAUUAAUUCAGACAUAACAAUAAAAACAGAAGACUUAGCUUAUAAUUUAGAAGAUAUAAAUGAAGACUUGAUUCUUUGACGCUAAAGGUGUUCUAUGUAAUUAGACUCCCUUCUAGUGGUGUGAGUAAAAGAGAUGGAUAGAAAAGUUAUUUUAACUUAUAAGGUGGACUUGACUAAAGUGUUCAAUAAUGACAUGACGUUGAGAAAGAAAGACUUAUUCUAUAUGUAACUCUUAAUUUGGGCAAUCGUUCGUCAAUAACUUUCAACUUUUGAGAUUCCUCCCACGGGUUUCAAUGUUUCAUUAUCUUAGCUGUGGAAAAAAGGUUGAAGUUGUUUGGAGUUUUGCAAAAUUGGCCACAAAUUCAUGCACCAACAAGAUUCCGGAAAAAUAUAAUGAGGCUCAGUAUAACAAAAGGCUUGGUGCAUGCUCUGAAAGUCCAAAUGAAUUAUAAUUAAUUACACAUAUUAAUUUGUAGUAAACUAAUUAAGAAGUAAAUGGAUGGUCUAACAACCUGCUUAACAGAUCGAAACAGAAUCAAAACAGAGGAGGGAAAAUGGAUUGAGUUUGUGUAUAGGACUAAUUAUGGAUUGAGUUUGUGUAAAAGCUACUACAUAUCACAUUGUUGACCUCUGGGCUAAUCAAGCAUUUACCUUUCCUAAUACAAUUUAUCACAAAACGAUUAUCCCUUUUCAUAUUUUAAGUUCAGUAGUAAGAAAACAGUGGCCGUUUCAUAUUUUCAGUUAUUGCUCAAUCCCUUUACAAAAAACUAUGUACAUUUACAAGGGAUGGAAGAUUUUGGUUUGACUUUGAUAUGACCAUAAAUACUAUUGAAAUUACAAACUUUAGAGGUUCACGAAAUAAAUAUUGUAAAUUUAAGGGGGCUAAAUCAUAAGCUUUACAAAUAAGUCGAUUCAAUUUUAGUUUGUACCUUUAUCAGGUAAUCCAAUUUUCCAAUUUUCAAACCAAAAUUUAGUUUUUAAUUUUUUGAUUAAAUUUCUUUAGAAAAUACUCAACUAAAUACUGUUUAUAGUUAAGUAUUAAUUUGAAUGAACAUCAUAUAUGAUUGUGUAAGCAAUUUAUUUGGUUAAUUAAUGGUUGUAAUCUUUAAAAAUGAGAAUUACUAAUUUUAAAAAAUUCCAAUGGUUACUGUAUUAAAAGUAUGUUUGGAACAUAGGAAUGCAUAGUAUUAUAAUACUAUUCACAUUAAUUUAUUGCUAACCUAUCUUUGGUAAUUUUAGAAGCCACAUUAUGGUGUAUUGUUAAUUUCUUUUUAAAAAAUUCUCUGAUAUUCAAUUAAAAAAAAUCAGCCACUCAAAAAAAAAAAAAAGUACUUAGCUUUGCGGCUGAAUGGGGCUAAAUUAUGUAUUGUUUGACUAGCGAAACUCUUACCACAUCGGCUGACCACAUCAUAUCGGUAAAAGUGAAAGAUAUUCACUUCAUCUCAUCAAUUUAAAAAUUAAUUAAGAUUACUCCUCCUCAAAAGAUAGUGCUGAUGAAGCUUACAGUUAGAUUACACAUAUUAAUUUGUAGUCAACUGAUGGAAGGUCUAACAACUUAGCUUAACAAACUGUAACAGAGUCAAAACAGGGGAGGCAAAUAUGAUAACGAACAUCUCGCCGAACUGAAGUAAAUAUCUAAAUGGUUAUUAAUUGGAUACAGCUUCAACUUUUGAACUGGUUUGUGGAAAUUGAAAAAAUUUGAAAAGUGUUCCUCUUGAAGAAUCAAAGUCUACUUUAUACGUAAAGAAAGGGGAUGUCGCAAGGAGUUUAAUCGAGUGAUUUUUUAAUUAUUCCACUGACCAACAUGAGAUUCCAAAGCAAGACUUGGUUCCCUAAGUCAAUAAGUAUCGAGGGGUUCACACGCAUUUCCGCGAGGCAUUAAAUAUAGUUUAAUUAUAAUUAUAAUAAAUAAAACACAUAACUAAUAUCAUUCCGCGUCGAUCGUGUCGUCAAGAUCCCCCUCUUGAAAGGAUUCCACUUACCACCUAAAUUCCAAAGCAAGAAGACUUGGUGCUGUAAGUCAAUAAAUAUUAUAUUAUUAAUUAAUUACACACCAUAUUCAACUUCUAUAAAUAAUAGUCAUUAUAUCUCUCUCUCUUCUUGUGAUUUCAUCAUCCAGAAAAGAAAAAAAAAAUGAAAAUGGGUUAUAUCACUCAGCCUUAUCAACUUUUUAUUUGCCUCCAGUUAUUCCUCUUCUAUUCUCAGUGUUCAGCUGCAAUACUUUGCUCUCACCACCAAAGUUCUGCUUUACUCCAAUUUAAGCACCUCUUUUCCUUUGAAAAAGAUUCUUCAUGGUUUUGUGAUGGACGUCAACAAUCUCGUCCAAAGAUGAUGUCUUGGAAAGAGGACGCUGAUUGCUGCUCCUGGGAUGGAGUAACAUGUGAUUCGGCGACGGGUCACGUGAUUGGCCUCGACCUCAGUUGCAGUUGGCUUCACGGCAACAUCCCUUCCAACAGUAGCCUUUCCUUGCUUCCUCGCCUCCGAAAGCUCAACUUAGCCUUCAAUGAUUUCAAUUUCUCUAAGAUUUCUUCUGGUUUUACUGAUCAAUUUCCGAGUUUGACGCUCCUUAACCUCUCUUGCAGCUAUUUCACGGGGUCAAUUCCUGCCUCACUAGGUAACAAUAUUACACAACUUGCUUAUUUGGAUCUCUCAUAUAACAGUUUUACUAGUCAGAUUCCAUCAUCUUUUUCAAAUCUCCACCAGCUUCUUCAUUUAGGUCUUCAGGGCAAUAGCUUUGUUGGUAAAAUUCCUGCAUCACUAGCUAAAAAUAUUUCACAACUUGCUUAUUUGAAUCUCUCCGUUAACAGUUUUAGUGGUCACAUUCCAUCAUCUUUUUCAAAUCUUCAGCAGCUUCGUCAUUUAGAUCUUCGGUACAAUCACUUUGUUGGUAAAAUUCCGGAUAUAUUUACCAAGCUAACCCGACUUUCUUAUUUAGCCCUGGGUGGGAAUCAACUGAUUGGCUCGAUUCCAAGUUCAAUCUUUGAACUUUUGAAUUUGACUGAGAUCUAUCUUUCUUUUAACAAUUUCAGUGGCAGCGUUGAGCUUUACGAUUUUGCAAAGCUCAAAAAUCUUAAAGUUCUUUCUCUUUAUAAUAUUAGUUUAUCAGUGAGCACUAAAUUAACAGUCAACUCGUCUUUCCCUAAUCUUUCGGAGUUGGAUUUAUCGGCUUGCAAUAUAAGUAAGUUUCCAGACGUCUUGAGAACUCAACAUCAGUUAGAGUGGUUGGACCUUUCUAAAAACCAAAUCCGUGGUAGGAUUCCCAGUUGGAUGUGGGAUAUCGGAGUACAUACUUUGUAUUACCUAGAUCUUUCACGAAACUUCCUGACAAGCAUAGACCAUCUUCCGUGGAAAAAUCUCGAAUAUCUUACCCUUGAUUCGAACCUACUUCAAGGAUCACUUCCAGAUCUACCACCUCACAUGGUAGAGCUUUUAAUUUACAACAAUAAUUUGACCGGAGAGAUUCCUUCAUCAUUUUGUAAUUUGAGUUCCAUUCAAUCUUUUGACAUAUCCAACAAUAGCUUGAGUGGACAAAUUCCACAGUGUCUUGGAAACUCUACACUUGAAAGUUUAGAUCUCGGAAUGAACAACUUCCAAGGUACCAUCCCACAGACAUAUGCAAAGGGCUGCAACUUGACUUAUCUUCUGCUGAGUGGCAAUCACUUGGAGGGACCAUUACCACCAUCUUUGAUUAACUGUGUCAAUUUGCUCUUUCUUGACGUUGGGAAUAACAACUUGAGCGGCCCAAUUCCAGAAUGUCUUGGAAACUCAACAAGUUUGUCAUUUCUUGAUGUUGGGAAUAACAACUUGAGCGGCCCAAUUCCAGAAUAUCUUGGAAUCUCAACACGUUUGUCAUUUCUUAAUGUUAGGAAUAACAGCUUGAGCGGCCCAAUUCCAGAAUGUCUUGGAAACUCAACACUUGAAAUCUUAGAUAUGAGAAUGAACAAGUUUAGUGGCAGCCUCCCUCAAACAUUUGCAAAAAGUUGUGUUUUGGUAAGUCUUAACCUUAAUAGCAAUCGGUUGGAAGGACCACUGCCUCCAUCUUUGGUUAAUUGUCGACAUUUGGAAGUUAUAGAUGUUGGGAACAAUCAGAUUAAUGAGACCUUUCCCCACUGGUUAGACGUUCUUCCCGAAUUGCAAGUACUUACAUUGCGUUCUAAUAGAUUUCGUGGUCCCAUUGGUGAUACCAAAACAAGAGUUCCUUUCCCCAAGUUGCGAAUAAUUGAUCUCUCUUACAAUCGAUUCACCGGUGUUUUGCCAAUAUGGUAUCUGAAUGGUUUUAAAGCCAUGAUGCACGGGGAUGACAAUAGUAUUGAAGUCAAUUAUAUGAGGUCGUUGAAUUAUUCUUACUAUGAAUCAAUAUCUCUGACUAUGAAAGGCAAUAACAUACAAAUGGAGAGGAUUUUAACCACUUUUGCAACUAUUGAUUUGUCGAGCAACAGAUUUCAAGGGGAAAUAUCACAAGUGUUGGGAAAGCUUAAUUCUCUCAAAAGUCUCAACAUUUCUCACAACAACUUGACAGGUGGUAUUCCAUCGUCGCUAAGAAAUCUGACAGAGCUUGAAUCUCUAGACCUCUCUUCAAACAAGCUUGCUGGACGUAUCCCAACACAACUAGCGAGUCUCAAUUAUCUUGCGGUGUUGAAUCUUUCGAACAACCAGCUCAAGGGACCCAUACCAGGAGGACCCCAAUUUAAUACAUUUGGAAUUGAUUCCUAUUCUGGUAACUCGGGGCUGUGUGGAUUCCCAUUAUCAAAAAGCUGCAACAUUGAUGAGGCACCAGAACCAACAACACCAACAGGAUUUAUCGAAGGAGACGAUGCUUCAAGCUGGUUUGAUUGGAAGCUCGCUAUGUUGGGUUACGCAUCUGGAGUGGUGAUCGGCUUGUCCAUCGGAUACAUGGCAUUUGUGACUGGAAGGCCACAAUGGUUUGUAAGAAUGAUCGAAAGGAAGCAAUCCAGGAAGCUGAGAAGGGUGAUCAGACGAGGCAGAGCUGGUAGAAGAAGUUUGUUGGUGCAUCUCUAAAGGCCCAGGUGAGUAAUUAUUAGUUUGUCUUUUGGAAUUAUAAGCUGGUUUCUACUGUUCUUUAAGUAGAUAGCAUGCUGAUAUUAUCGUAAUCUAACAGUUGACUUGCAAAAAUCACAAUCCUAAUGAAUUUCAAAUUAUGCUUAUUAUCAACAUCUAUAGUGAGAAACAAAAUGAGGAUAAUGUAUAAGAAAGAAAAUUUUAACUGAAUUAUUGAUGCGAUUGUUUUUACUUUUAUUGCCAUUUGAUUAGAACAUGUAAUCACGGACGUAUGUUUUGAUGGUAAAAUGAUUUGAAGUAAUAUUGUUGCAGGAAAUUGUGCGGGGGUAACUUUGGUUUGUAAUCAUGUACUUCAAAUUUGGGCGUAGAACAUGCUCUAUUAAGUGUGUGCAUUGCUCUUCUUGGAGAAAAUGUAUUAAAUGAAAUCCCACACAUCUGCCAGUGGGCUUGUAUAGCGUUGACAGCACUCAUCCCACACAUCUUCCCAUGCAAGGAUUUCCACUCAUCAAUUAGCAAAAAUUGAAAAACAUUAUAAUUAAAUGUG
rnacentral:lncRNA from 1 species